CCGCACCACCACCCCUCCCUCCUUCCCGCCCUUCCUCUCCCUGCACGCCCCCUGACAGUUCCUGGCCGGCGCCCGCGACGCCGUCACGGGGCUGGCCAAGCGCGUCACCGGCACCACCACUACCACCACACAGCCAGCGGGCGAGCACCACCAGCAGCACCACCAAGGGCACCAGGGGCAGCAGCAGCAGCAGCAAGGGCUGCAGGCACUGCUGCCCAAGUCGCCCAUCGGCGGCGGCGGUGUCGGUGGCGGCGGCGGCCCGGUGAUGGGUCUGGCUCCCGAGGUGCGCUACCGCCUGUCGGACUUCCCAGAGGGCCGGGCGCUGGUGGCGCUGGAGAGGUGCGCGCGGGCGGCGGCGGCGGGGGGCUGCGGGAGAAAGACUGUGGCGACCCAGCAGCGCGUGUGUAGGCGUGCGUAUGCGUGUGCAUCUGUGCGUGUGGUGUGCGCGUGCGCGGUCGCAGUGUCAAUGGCUUGCCAAAGGACCGUGUUUGUGAGAGGGGACACGAGGCACCCCCGCCCCUCUGCCCGCCGCCCUCCCGCCUGCAGGUGGUGUCGCGAGCCGGUGCAUCUGGGGCUGCUGUCGGAGCUGUGGGCGGCGGCGCGUGAGUACGGCCGCGGCUACGUGGCGUCGGGGGCAGCGGCGCCCUGGUGCGUGUGCGUGUGCGUGUGUGGUAUGUGUGUGCAACCUUCGCUGCAACAAGGCUGACGCGUGCGUAAGCCCGCAACGGCCACACCACGACCCAGCGCAUUGACCAGGCCACAGCGACCGCUGUCCUCGCAGCGCCCCUUGCAUCCCUCCGCCCCCCCCCCACGGCCCCCCCCUUUGUACCAAUCCUUGCAACCCCCCACCCCACCCCACUCUCCCACCUCUCCCCGCAACCCCCUCCCCGCACCACCCCCGCACCAGGCUGGCCGACAGCCUGGGACCCUGGCUGGAGUCCUUCCCCGACGCCGCGCCGCCGCUGUCGCUGGAGGCGGUGGUGGAACGCGCGGUGGCGGACGCGCAGGAAGGCUUCAGAGCCGAGGCAGCCAGCAUCAGCGCGGGUGAGCGCACAGCGUGCGUGUGCGUGUGCGUAUGUGCGUGCGUGUGUGCGUGCGUGUGUUUGUGAUUGUAUUAGAAAGCACCAGGGAAAGGUCGCUCUUGAACGGUAUGUGCAUGUACACGUACGUGUGUGAGGUUUGUUCUUGCCUUGUGCUAGCUCGUAAUGUCGGGCGGGCUGCUGUCGCCGCCGUGCGUUACAGGCGCCGGCCCCAGUAUGGAGGCGGGCGGCCCGGCGGCAGCGGGCUGGGAGGGCGGGCUGCCGCUGCGGCGCCUGGCGGCGGCCGCCGGCCCCAACCUGACCCACAUCAGCCGCCAGCUGCAGCAGCGCUACCGCCUCAGCCGCGGCCGCACAUGGUUGGAGUUCACGCAGGUGUAGCGAGCGAGCUAGCGUGGGAGCGCGUUACCCGUUGCUGGUUCUAGCUGGGUCGAUAUGUCUGCGGUUUGACCUGCCAUUGUCAGGUUGUGCUCGUCGCAACACCGCGCCACCAUCAAACCUGAGCCCUCACACUACCUCGCUGCGGGCCCUGCAUGUAGCCUGCCGCUCUGAACUCACGCCCCAUAACCCUCCCUCCCCUUCUCCCCUUCUCCACCCCCCCCCAGAUCUUCCUGGGCGCCUUCCGCACCUGGCUGCGCCUGGUGGCGUACGGCCUGUCGCUGGCGGCUGUGGCGCUGCGGCUGCUGGGCACCGGCGCCAGUGUGCUGAGCGGCGCGGUGGCCUUCACGGUGGUGUUCUCCAUCGCGCUGUCGGUGCUGUCGGCGGCGCUGCAGCUGGGCGGCGGCGCGGCGGACGGCAUCUCGGCGCUGCUCAGGUGGGUGCGUACGUGGGGGGAUAGGAGGGGGGAGGAGGGUGGGAUGGGGCAGGGGGCGGGGGGCAGGGGGCGGGGGGCAGGGGGCAGGGGGCAGGGGGCAGGGGGCAGGGGGCAGGGGGCAGGGGGCAGGGGGCAGGGGGCAGGGGGCAGGGGGCAGGGGGCAGGGGGCAGGGGGCAGGGGGCAGGGGGCAGGGGGCAGGGGGCAGGGGGGCAGCGGGCAGGGGGCAGGGCUCGGGGAGAUGGGGAGGGGGGAGGGCUGUACAGCUUCAAAAGAGGCAGGCGCCCCACAGUGUCCAGCAGGUGGAUGCUCCAGACACGCAAUCGCCCAUCGCCCAUCGCCCAUCGCCCAUCGCAUCUGCCCCGACCCCUCUCCCUCCCUCACGCAAAAACACACAUUGUUUGCGUAUACUUUUUCUUGUGCUCAUCCAUACACACACACACAUCUUCAUCAUCGCCAGGCGACUGGCCUCCAUGACCGAGAGUGUGGCGCACCGCAGCAACACGGGAUACGUGCGCCAGACGGUGGAGGGAGACCUGGUGGGUGGUGGGUGGGUGUGGGCAAUGGCGGCGGUAUGCGGCCGCGACCGCUACACAUGGCGUGCUGCUGUGUGUGCUGUUGGUGAGCUGAAGUGUUAUCUCGCGCCUCAGUCCGUACAAACGCACACGAAAGACAGACACACGCACGCACGGCGUUUGGGCGGGCCGAUUUUGCUGCCUCGUUGUUAAACACACACACACACACACACACACACACACACACACACACGCGCGCGCAUACACACACACAUACACACACACGCCCGCCCGCCUGCACAGGUGGGCCCCCGCAGUCUGGACCCGGCCAGCUUUGAGGAGCUGGAGGACCUGUUCGUGUGCCAACUGGCGCCGCGGCUGAGACUGCGGUGAGGGAGGGAGACGGGCUGGCGUUGGGUGCAGGCAGGUCCACGUGACUCCAGACCCGCCCCCUCACUUCGGUCACUUACAACAAUCCUCCUGCACAACUUGGCUUUGGCUGACUGUUUCCCCUGAGCCGCCCUGAGCCUCCUUGACGCCCGCCCCCCUUCAACCGCCCAGCUCGCGGCCCGACGCCGCCCGCCUGGCCGGUGACCCGCUGCUGCUGCGCUGCUACGACCUGCGGCUGGUGGACGGGGCGGGGCAGGUGCGGGGGCGGGGCGGUUGGGGGGGGGGCAGGUGUGUGUGUAUGUGCAUGUGUGUGUGUAGAUACCAGCCCAAGCUGACACCAUACUGAACCCAAUGGGGGCCGGGCGGGUGUUUGGGUGUGUUAGUGGGUGCGGUGCGUGUCUCAGCAAGGCGCGGUGCUGUGGCUGCGUCAGUGGCUGCGUCAGGAAGCUGGGGGAUGUGCGUGAGGGUGCAGCUGUGGCUGGAUGGCGGAUGCGCACGCGUCGCAGACCCGCCCUGCCGUUGUGCAUGUACGUGUGUGUGUGUGCCUCACCAGGUGAUGGUGGAGGAGGCGGAGGCGGUGGUGCCGCGGUUUGAGCCCACUGGCUUCUUCGGACUGGCGCCGCAGGCGGUGCGCAAGGUGGGUGGGUGCGCGCGAGAGAGGAGGAGGAGGGCCUCGCUCACGGGGGCCAUGUUUGAUGUAUGCGGCUGAGAGUGUGUGUGAUGCAAGCGACCCUUGCACUUUGCCUGCACUGUUACCCUCCUGACACAACUCAUUUGGCCUCCUGUGUGGCUAUCCCGGCCGCCCGCCAUCACCAUACCGAAUACAUCCUCACCACCUGCCUGCUACGUACGCGGCGCGUCGGCGCCGCCGCCCGGGCCCCACUCCCUAUGCGCGCACAGGCGGGUGCGGUGCUGCUGCUGCGGCUGCUGGCCUGGAAGCGCGUGGGGCUGUGCUGCGCCUCCGCUGAGAGCCUCAAGUACGUGUUUGUGAUGGGCGAGCGCGGCGCCGGCCGGGCCACCGCCUUCGCGCGACUGGCGCAGCUGCCGCUCGACUACAAGGUGCGUGCGUGUCAGUGUGUGUGUGUGUGUGUGUGUGUGUGUGUGUGUGUGUGUGUGUGUGUGUGUGCUGUUUAAUGUUUGCGCGUGUGUAUUUGUUUUUGUGUGUCAGCCUGUGUGUGCGCUUCUGUGUCUGUGUGUUGGUAAAGCAACAAGGGUAAGGUUGACAGGAAAAGUAGAUGAGGGAGAGUGUUUGGUCAUGUCAGGACCAAGCGAAACGAUGGGAAGGUGUGCAUGCAUGUGUACAACAUGCUAGCUGGCGCCCCUUGCCCUUACAGCCGUGCCCCUAUUUCCACAUUUACGCUCCCCAUCUCCCGUUCUCCCCUUUCCUCCUGUCCCCCAUUUCCCCAUGCUAGACUCCCCCUCCAAACCCCAACCACCCAUCACACCACACCACUACUCCCGCACGCCCCCACCCACCCCCCCCCCCGCCCCGCAGGUGCCUCCCUCCGUGCCCGCCGAGAUCCGGCCCAUCCAGCGCCUGCCCGGCGCCUUCGCGGUGCUGCCCGCCGGCCUGGACGCCGACCCCGCCGCCUGCCCCGCAGUGCUGGCGCGGGCGCAGCACUUCGCGGACCUGUCGCACGGUGCGUGUUGAUGUUUGCGCUUGUGCAUGUGCGUGUGUGUGGAUAGGUGCGCAGCUUUGUUCCAUUACUGGGUAUGUGCGGGGGGGUUGUAGAUACCAGCCCAUACUAAACCAAACCCAAUGCAAUAGAGCGAGGAGGAGAGCGUGGGCGAUGCUUGACAACGGGGGUAUUUGAAGCCCCCCUGCUUCCCCCAGCUUCUCAAUCUGUGCCUGCUGCCCCCGCCCGCCCGCCCGCCCGCCCCGCAUGCAGGCGUGUUCUCGGUGCUGGUGUACCUGGUGGGCGUGGACAGCGCGCCCUCGCCCGAGGCGCUUGGGCCGGCGGUGUGGCAGGCGCUGGCGGCGCGGCGGCCGCUGCUGCUGCUGGUGAACAAGGGCAUCAAGCUCACGGAGGCGCUGAGGGUGAGAGUGGGGUGAGCGAGGUAGCAGGGGGCGGGCGGGGCGGCGGGCGUGGACAGGGUGGGUGAUGAGCGGGCGGGCAUGCUGGUUGCGCUGUAGUGUCUGACAGCCUCUGGGUGUAGAGCGGGCCAGGACGCUGGCCACCGGUACCCUGAUGGUGCAUCUGCCUUGCUGUCCACAACCUUAUGUUCUUAAUGUGCCGGUGUCCUGUAGCGGUGCACAACAUGUUGAAUGGUGAUUACGACUAUCGCUAGCCGGAAGUAGGGGCGGCUGACAGUCAGACUGUUUCGCACAUUACAUAGUACCACACUACUUAACUAUAACGGGUAGCUCUCUGGCUUAUACCCUCGCAUGGGUUCCGGGUUAAGUCCUUGCAUGGUGUAUCGCACACACACUCUCGGAACUCCCCUACGUUCUCCCUUAUGGAUAGUUCUGACCGAUAUCUCAACACUCCCCCGCGGGCAGAACUCCAUACUCAAAUUACGUAUCGCAAUAGACUCAUACCUCAAAUCACGUGCUACAAACAAUCCCUGCAUACCUCUGUACGCUUGCCGCUUGUAGUCACUGUGCUACUGCAAUCGUCCCAUGUUCUCGUGUCCUCAAGAUCACGUCUUUCUCUUUCUCACUGCAUCGUCCAUAAUCAGCACAAAUCAAUACGGUCUUCUACCGCAAUCAAUUUCAUCCGGAAAUCCAUACUCAAUCAUAUCUGCACGGCUCCCCCGUGUCCGAAUGCUCCCGCAUUCACUGUACUUACGGCUUCACUUCACCGUACCUGCGGUUUCACACACCGCAUCAUGCCGCACUACCGGCAUCAUAGCUUCAAGUGCUAGAGAGCCAUACACAUAAGAUGAUCUUUUAACAUCAUAUGAUAAGAGCAUAACAGCAACUCUCUACCGCUGGCUUCACUUGCCAUGUUCGUUCAUCUGACUUCACUUGCCAGUCGUGGAUCCUUGCCAGUCCGUGACUUCACUCGCCACAUGUGACUUCACUCGCCACAUAGCAAACCACUCUCAGUGCACUUCACUCGUGCAAACAGUAGCAAAGCUUCACUCGCAUUUGCUCACACAAUCUCAGGUGCUUCACUCACACCCCGUGCUUCACUUGCACGUCUCAUACUGGUGCUUCACUCACACCGCGUGUCAUACUCGCACGCAUAUCGUACUCACGAUGCCUUCCUUGCACCGACAUACUCACGAUGCUUUACUCGCACCGACAGCCCAACGUGGCCGUUCACAUCACAUCGGAGCUAGCAUCAUAGUCUAUGCUCCACAUCAUAUCUUCUGCUCCUACGAACGCUACUAGGCGCGGACCCCCCGGCCGCGCCCCCGGCCGUUUCCCUGGUCCAGGUUCACCGCCCACAUGCGCCGGUCACCGCCGUCCCGGCCUACGUGUGCACCGCGCGCCUGGUUGCCACCGCCGCCCUCAGCGGCCUGCUCCGGGCACUCCCACUGGAAAUGUCCCCAGCCCUGGCACCUCCGGCACUGGAUGUUCUCCUUGUUGCGCACAACGCCACCCUCCUAGCUCGGACCUCCACCAACUCUCCGUAGUGGAAUGGUCACGCAUGCUGAGGAUAAGGCUUGCUUCCUCGCCAUCCCGCGAGUACGCAUUCGACUGCUUCCUUCCUCGCCAUCCCGCGAGUACGAGUCCUUAGCAGCUUAUCACCGGUCGUUCUCCAAAGUGAGCGACCGAUAAACUCCAGACGCGAUGCUGUCCGCAAAUUCCGGCCUCCUCGGCCGGUCGCGCUGACUUUGCCUACAUUAUCCCGAGCCUAGUUGAGCAGCUCAAGGGAUCUUGCGAGCAUUUGCUGCGCCGCCUACUGGGCAGCCGCUUUCCUCGCUCAUUGCGCUCAAUGGCCUACAGCCUAUCGGUUAUCUUGUCUUUACUCGACAAAGCGCAACCCGCCGCAACUACGCGGGGCUCAUAACCUGUUGAAUGGUGAUUACGACUAUCGCUAGCCGGAAGUAGGGGCGGCUGACAGUCAGACUGUUUCGCACAUUACAUAGUACCACACUACUUAACUAUAACGGGUAGCUCUCUGGCUUAUACCCUCGCAUGGGUUCCGGGUUAAGUCCUUGCAUGGUGUAUCGCACACACACUCUCGGAACUCCCCUACGUUCUCCCUUAUGGAUAGUUCUGACCGAUAUCUCAACACAACACCCCUCCCCUUCCCGACCCGCCCCUCGCAGUCCGAGCCGCGCGCGGUGGAGUCUCGGCAGGCGGGCUGGACUGCCGCGCUGCAGGAGGGCGCGGCGCGGCGCGGUCUGGAGGCCGACCUGGCGGCGGUGCUGGUCAGCGAGCUGCGGGACACAGGCCACACGCCGGCGGGGGUGGCGGGGCCGCAGCAGGUGCGCGACUGGCUGGCGGCGGCGCUGGAGGGCGCCACGACGCGCUAGAGCGGGGGGGGGGGGCAGGGAGGCAGAUUGGGGAGGGGUUAGUUGGCACGGGGUUUGGGCAGGGGGCGUGUAAGUGUGUUGCAGGUAUUGUCAGAAAGGAUCCGGGUGUGUACGGUGCGCAAGGAUGGUGGGAGAUGGUGGUGGCGGCGGUGGGUGAUGACGGGGGAUGUGCAGGAUGGAGCAACUGGCACAUGCUGUGCUUGAGAGGUGUUGAUAGUUGGCAGUUGAGGAACUAGCGCCGAGUCGGCUCGUGUGUGCCAGGGGUCACGGCAGCGUGUAAGGAAAGAGACUCUUACGAGUUCCAUUGAUACAUUGUUGCGACCAGAUCCGCCAGUGUUGCCAUGCAUGAGUCAUCAUACAAUAUCCACCAGUUCUGCACACCGGGGCCCUUCCAACUCCUCACCCAGCCAGGCGCCAUCUGCCUGCCGCGGCGAGCUCCCACGCAAUCCUGAGGCCAGCUCGCACACAAAGCUUUGCCAGUCACCAAUCUCCAAGCACACCGUACAACCCUUGCGAAGGGCCCAGCCGCCAGCCGUGUGCCAGGAAGGGGUCUUCCCCAACCCAGCCCGCACUUCAUGCCUUACACGCCAGCCACAACCGCCUCCUUCAUCCUGCCAGCAGCGUAACGAGCUCGCGCCUCCUCUCGCCGCCUGGCCAUCUUACCCUUAGCCCUCAUGGGAUGGUGUGAACAACUAAAGCAGUCAACAAUUCUUCUCACAUGGGUCACAACCGCCUUUCCUCGUGUCCGCAGCGUGACUUGCGUGCUCUGCUCACGCGCCGUGUGCCGUUUGACCUGUUCCUUUUCCUUCGCCUACAGCACACCCCAACGUGCCCUCUCCCCAGCAACGUCGCCCCCCGCAAGCCCUCUUAUCCGAGAUCUACUCAUCAGUACUGCCCCUCUUGCCCCUCUCCAACCCCCGCCACAGUCUGCCCCACAGCCCUAGUUGGCGCCCAACCGGUUGCCGCGUCCGCCGAAGGCGCGGAAUGCGUCCAGCCCCGGCGCGGCGUGCGUGUUGACGCGCCGCCCCACGCCUGCGUCCGCCAGCAGGUUCUUGAGGAAGCGGGGCGUGGCGAGCAGGCGCGGGCCGCCGAUGGCGGGGUAGAGCACCGUGAGGUAGUAGUGCAUGUGCCCCACCACGAUGCCCAGCAGGGAGGGGUACGGGAUGGCCCCGGCCAUGAGGAACUCGAUGCCCACGAACACGAAGGGCACGUGGAAGGCCAGCACCUUGAACAGCCCGUAGAUGGACACCUGCUGUUGCGGGAACUGCCGGCUCCACACCUGGGGGUGGGACAGUGAGAAGUGAAGGUGGCAGGUGGGGUGUGUGUGUGUGUGUGUGUGUGCAAAGAUUGGUACAGAGAAGUGUAGCGAAGAAGACAGCAGGCGUCGGAGUGCGCGGGGGUGGGGUUUAGUGGGCUGGAACGGGAAGGAUGAGGCGGAGGAGAAGCAGGCCAGCAGGACGUCUGUAGCGGCUGGAUUGGCCCGUCUUCACGUCUCAGAACUCCUGCCCCACCACCCCCUCUCCCGCGUCAGAGCUCCCUCCCCUCGCUGCCAUCAGCCCUGUCCUCUGGCCGUCCUCCCUGCAGCCCUCCCUCCCUCUGAUGCUGCAGCUUGCCUGUACCUUCUCCUCUCCCUCUCUCCCUCCUCCCCCUCCCCCACUCACAUACAGCAGCAUGAAGAUGAGGGAGUCGGCCAUGAAGAACAUGGGAAUGCCCAGGCCGAACAGCAGCACCAGGCUCAGGCCCAGCAUGCAGCCGGCGCCAAACAGCAUCAUGAACAGGAAGUCGGCCGGCUCGAAGGCGAACGUCUCGCGCUCCAGCGUGGUGCCGUACGACAGCAGCCACAGGAUCUGUGCGUACGGCGCAGGAGUGCGUGUACGGCAGGUGUGUAUGUGUAUGUGUGUGGGGGUGUGGUAGUGUGAGUGCGUGUGUACGGUGUGUGGGCGUACGGUAUGUGAGCGGAAGCGGGUAGGGGAGCGGGUGCAAGGGUUGCAGCUGGGCAGGCGCACGGCUGCGUGUGCAGCUGUAGGGGUGGAUUCUUUGCGGCGCGCUGAGGGCGUGUGUGUGUGUCCACAGCCCUCAGGCGCUGUGCCGGACCGUCUGCUGUCCGCCGCCAGCUCUGUGUCCAGCCUGCGAACCGCCGCAAUUCGGGCCCACCUCCCACCCGCCCUGUCCCACGCCUGCCGCCUCGCCGCCCGCCGCGCAGUGCCGGCUGCCGGCCCCGCCCCGUUCUUGCUGACCCGCAGCCCGCGCCGCUGCCCUGAGUCGGGGCUCGCUCCCAGCCCUGCCCCCGCCCGUGCCGCGCCCCUGCCCUGCCCCGCGCGCGCCCCUGCCGCCCCACGGCGCCCCCCACCUUGAUGACCCAGUUGAAUGAGAACUUGCCCAUGAAGAAGAAGUUGGUCACCAGGCGCCAAACCUGCAGCAGGCAGCAGGGGUGGUGAGGUGGAAGCAGUGGUUCAGGGGGGCGCCGGACAGCAGGCGAAAGGGGGUCUUGUGCCAUGGCGCGUGCCGACGCACACGCUCGCGGCAGCCUAACCCGCCACGCCCCUGAGUCCCCCCAGCUCCACAAGACAACGGGCACGAUUACAGCUCAACGCUGCUCGCACCUCGAAGUGCGUCGCCACUCGCGGCCAUAAUAGCGCAAUCCACAUAACAUUGACGAAGCCCAAGCGCCACAGCAGGGUGACGAUGAACAGCGAUGCCGCAUAGGUUCGGGUGAUGGGCGGCAGGCUCUCAAACCAAGCCCCUACACCCGUUCCCGCAGCGUUCACAUUUUGGAUGCGCGGCGGCAUCGCGCCUGCUUACGCUCUCUGAAGUGGGGAUGAAGUGUCCCUUAACCGGAGUGGCGUGUUUCGCGGAGCACAGGGGCUCAAUUGAUUGGUGUAUGUGAUGGUAUGUCGAUGCAAGUUAGCUGGGUGCCUCCAGUGACCGAGUUUGGCAGAGCGAUCGUGGACCAACUUCUUUUGCCUAUGUAUUCCAAGCUUUUUCCAGACGGUAUGUGUGCAGUGUGUAUGAGUAGAGUAGAUUUCGUUGCAGCCUCAACAAAAGCAUACGGGAACAAACAUGAAGGCCUCAUUCCAGAACUUGCCACCAUUUGCCCGUUCACAACGCUCGAGUCCAUAUAAGUACACCACAACAAUGGUGCCAUCAACUGCGCGCAUGCUUAGCUCUAGCCCUACGAAUCCGUGCAGCCGCACGCCAUGCAGCGUGCGGCCCUUGAACCCCGUUCGCAACCCGAUGGCCUGCGCCGCGGGCCGGCGUCUAGAACGCUUGAGAGAGGAUGAAGAUGAAUGGAGGCAGCGCAAGGGGCUGCGGGGGAGCCCGACGACAACUAAAGGCGGGCGACGAAGGGACCGUGGCGAAGGCGGAGCUGACGCCGAACACGGGGACAGUCGGAGCGCCCGGGGGCGACCAACGGCUGCGGCCAUAUCUGCUGUGGAGCUCUCAGACCGGGAGCUCCAGGAGCCCUCAAGCAGCGGUCUCGGGCGGGGCAGCGGGGACGGGCAGGAGUCGUUGAGAGAGGAAGAAGAGGAGGCACGGGAGGAGGAGGGGGAGGACGAGGACGACGAGGCCGGCCCUCGCAGUGCGGAGGACGGUUUCUUCGACGGCAAGUCGUACCGCCUGGUGUCCACUGAGAGCGGCGAGAACACCAUCCUCAUCAACGGUGAGAGGACGGGUGUGGAUGCGUGGGCUGUUAGCGGCUGUGUGGAACGGGAACGGUUUACACAACACGCGGCGGCGAUGGAGCUGUGGCGGGUGGCCUCAGUCGGACGGGGGUUCAUGUGGCCCUGCGGCACCUGUGCAAGCGGUCAGUGGUCCAGUGGUAGCAUACUACCCGUGACGGCAGGCCCGGGGUCGGCCAUGCCACAGCCUUACACCCUUCCCCGCCACUCGCGGCCCUGCCCUCGCGCUGCCGCAGGCGUCAAAAUGCACAUCUCCAUGAGCAAGCGGCCGUCGCAGGACGCGGAGGACAAGUGCAAGCUCAUCAAAGUGCGGAAGGGCUCGACGGUGCUGGACAUAUGCUGCGGUGAGGGGUGUGGCCGGCCGGCCGGCUGCAGGGGCUUGCCGCGCGUGCAGUGGGUGCAGCUGGUUGGCAGGGGGCGUGUCAGGCCGCCAACAGAGCCUUUGCUGCCGCAGUGAGUACCGGAGCGUAUUCAUCCCUGCUACUUCUAUCUCCGAGCUGUCAUUCCCCGCACUUACCUGGGCCACUCCUCUUCCUUUCCCCCACUGCCUUCUCCUCCGCCUCCGCCUCCACCACUUAGGCCUGGGCUACAGCGCCUCCGCCGCGGCCCGCCUGGGCGCCAAGCGGGUUGUGAGCCUGGAGGUGGACGCCAACGUGCUGGAGGUGGCGCGGCAGAACCCCGCCAGUGCGGCGCUGUUCGACCCGGAGGGGCCCAUACAAAUCGUGAUGGGGCCGGCGCAGGUGCGUGCGUGCGUGCGUGCGUGCGUGCGUGCGUGCGUGCGUGCGUGCGUGCGUGCGUGUGUGUGUGUGUGGGGGGGGGCGGUGGUGGUGGUGGUGGUGGUGAUGGCGGGAGAUGUCCACGCCAUUCCCAGUAGGACACCCAAGACAUGAGGACGCAGGACAGGACAAGCCUGGGGAGGCAAGGUGUGGUGAGGCGAGGUGGGUUAAGGGGCUCCCUCCCCAUUGAGCGCGGUAGGCUUUUGGUUCGGCGAGUCCUCUCCCGAUCUCCCGUACACGAUGCACCCGCUCACCUUCACUCUGCUCCUCCCCACGCGCCCUGCGUCUCCACCCCCUAGGAGUCCAUACUGGCGUUUGACGACGAGUCGUUCUCGGGCGUCAUGCACGACCCGCCCCGGUUCAGCUUUGCGGGGGAGCUGUACUCGCAGGUGACCAGGCUGGGGGGGGGGGAGUGUGUGGUGCAGGGCGCGGUGCAGGGGGCAGCGGUUGCCAGGGUCAGGUCACGGGGCGACCGCGCUGUUGCCUUUUACCCUUACCCGAACCCACGUGCACCACAUGCCCGAAUCUGCAACCCUGAAAUGGCAUAAACACACACAAGCAGACGCCCACCUGCGCCCUCAUCUCCCUCAUGCUCGCUUCCCUCUCCCCCAACACAGGCUUUCUACAACGAGGUAUUCCGGGUGCUCAAGUGCGGCGGCCGCUUCUUCCACUACACAGGUGGGCGGGCGGGUGGAGCGGUUGGGCCGCAACUUGAGGCGGACCGUAGCUAAACGGUGUUAGUUGGUACGAACGCCUCCUCCCCGUACUCGAAUGCACCUUUUAAACAUGGCGAGGCGCUGCGCAGGGAACCCCGGCGGGCGCAGCAGCAUCCCCAACGGCGUGAAGCGGCGGAUGAUGCUCAGCGGCUUCGUCAACGUCAAGUGGAUCGACACAUGCCAGGGCAUGCUGGGAAUCAAGCCCUGAUGGGGGUUGUGAUGGGAGCGCUGGCACGGGGGAAGUUACCUUGAUUCAUCUACCCUAAUUCAUUCACUCGAUGGACGAUGGCACGACGGCAAGAAAAUGAGGCAGUGAACAAGGGCGUGGUGCCGUGGGCUUUGCGCUAAUGGUCACGUGUGGCCGUCAGGCCGUGUUUGUGUGUGGUGUGGAGUAACACCGUCUUGCGGGAUGCGGCACCACAGCUUCAGGCCGUGCCGCCGCAUGGGUGACCGAGUCUCAAAUCACAUUCUCAAGGAGAGCCUUGGGCACGGUUCCUCGUAUCAGCGGCGAGCCCUUGAGCCUUGCUCCUCUUGUAGGUGUUUGCCGCAGACCGCAGACGCUGGUUGUUGGCAUCCAGGUUUGCGCGCGUGACCCGACCCGUUGCACUGGGGUAUAUUGUGGACGAGAGACUGUGAGUGUGAGGGAGGGGGAAAAGCGGGACGGGGGGGGGGGGGGGGACGGGGCGGGGCGGGGCGGGACGGGGGGCGGGGCGGGGGGCGGGGGCGGAGGGAAAUCGUGGCAGGGAACGAGGACGCGAAUGGUGUAACGGGGCUAUCAGUCCGAAGCAGCACCGCUUGCAGCAAACACAACGCAUCACAUUUUGCUCUUCGCCAGGUAUAACGCUUGAAUAGCUUCGGGUAGAUCCUAGGUCAAGCUGUCCCAAAUUCAAACUUGACUUCAGCUGGUCACACGUCCGCACUUACUACAGUAAUACUUAACAGUUUUAGUUGGCAACUGGUUCGAUUGGACUCUCUGGGCGGCCUGGGCGCAGCAAUGUCAAGAAUGGACAAGCGAAAGACAUGCCGAAAGACACGCGAGCGACUCCACGACGUCCUUCCAUGCACACACGGUAAGGAAGAUUGAUGCAAACAUGCCUGGAGGUUUGGGGGCAAGGGGUGUGGGGUGGGGGUUGCCAGCAACCCAGGCCUCGGGAAUGUCGAAAAUGGACUGGCAUGCCAGCAGACCUGCGUAGGUUUCCACGCGCUUCCCUGCGCACAGCACGAGGCAGACAUGAUGGGAACUUGGCUCGGGAUAGGGGGUCGCGGGCGCCGAGGGGGGCCGGCGGAAGGAACAGGCAGCCAAGAGUUUGGGAUUUGCUUGUCACGGGCUUGUCACGGGUCAGCGAUCUUGUCCCCACGCUGCGUAACAGCUCGCGACGCUUCAGACUUGCUGCAAUUCCAGUUGCUUUUAACAUGCUUACAUGCUUGCUGUUGGUCCGGGUCGACACCCACAUCCCCAACGUAUGCAGCAGCAUCAACGCACGCCUGCGCGGGGCGUCUUGCAGCACGUCCGCGUGGCCACUCCAACCGUCUAGUUUGUAGGAGACUGCACCGUCGGACAUGGCGCCAUCGGCCGUGUUCUGCGAGAGCGAGGAGCUCCUCCAUGCGCUCUACUGUUUCCCGCAUCGCGAGGCUGCGCGGCCUCAGACUGCCGCAGAUGCAGCAUCUCUGUCCGGCCUCUUCUUCAAGUUUGUACAGCAGGUGCACAAGCGCAAGCACACCGCUUGGGAACGGAAGGAUGGGUUCGCCUGUGACAGCGCGCGCCCAACGCCAACCUCGUGCGCCUCCCUGCAGAUGCUGCCAUCUGGGUCUGGGGCGGCUGGUGGCUGGGCGGAUCAGGAAGACGCGGCAUCUCUAGCGGCAACAGCCUGGUACCUGGAGUCGGGCCUGGUGACCUGGUUUCCAGAGUUCGGCUGCGCGGUCCUUGCCCGGGGGGCGCUGGCACUUGCAGAUGGGGACGACGGCGCUGGCGACCUGCGCGCACAGCCCGGCCAACUGUCUCUCCACGUGUUAGCGCUGGACGAGUGGCGGUUCACGCUCCACAGGUGCGCAUGUACCUGCUGUGGUUCAUGUUUCCACUAUGUGCGUGCUUGCUUGUCUUUCGUCCAGUACCGGCAGCCGAUCCACGCACGUGCCCUGCCUCUCUACCUACCCAUGCAGCUCCCCAAGCGGCGCAUUUCAGCACACAGCCAUGAGCACUGCCCGGCUCGGUGGAGUGCUGUUCAUGCCAUGUGGAGGCACCUGCCCACCGUCGGCCCUCACCCGCGUCAUUGGGAACGUGCGCGACAUCAUUCACCGGAGCCAGGACGCCAAGAUCAGGAGCAACGAGAAGGGCUUUCAGCGCACCCCCGCCUUCAUCCACGCCGCCGUCCUGGAUGCCUUAGCGCUGGAGGUGGCUGGCGGCGGUGGCACCACCGGCACUGGCAGUUGGAAGAAGACAGUCGCUCGGGGCGGCACCACGGAUGUGGGUCAGCACACCGGCGGCGACACGGUGCGGAACACGUGUUGGCCGCUGGUGCAAGCGACCAUCCAGGUGAGAACAUGAGCUACUCGUAUGCAUAUGGGCUCCAGAUUUUCAUGUUCGGCAGUUGCCGCGCUGCUUCAAGCAUGCGCCAACUAGAGGUGCCAAGGGGUUACGGAAGGAUUGGAUGGGUUUUAUGGUAGGGUGGCGGGGUAUUACAGCCAGGAACCUCUUUAGAAACGCUUUCCCAGGGUGGAGGCUUGACACUUCUCCUCGUUACGUACCGCGUCCUUGCAGGUCUCCUUGCUGCGCAUGGGCGUGUGCGGCCCCCACCAGCAGCCCAACCUGUUGUUCCGCCGCGCCAUGGCCCACAUGGACCUGUGGCUGCUGCGCCGCCAGGUGCAGUGCAUGGACAGCCCCAGCGCCGCCACGCCGGUCGCGCUCACGGCGACCAUGCACAUGCUGCAGGCCACUGCCGCCAAGGCCGCGAACCUGGCGGCGGAGGGCGAGGACGUGUCGACCUUUGAGAAGGCGUGCCAGUCAGUGCGGCAGUCGCUGGAGGCAGUCGCGUCGGAACGGGCUUGGAAGGCAGCGGAGCAGCACUGCGUACCGCCCGCAGGCUCGGAAGCUGCGCUCGGCGAGUUGCUGUGGCCUAGAGGUACGCUGCCAGGGCUACCGCCAGCUCAGCUGGCAGCUGGUGGGCUGGAGGCUGCUAAGCAGCGGGAGAGUGCCAACCUGGGCACAGUGCCGCUGCUGGAGCCCGGCGCGUCCUUCCAGAAGGUACUGGGGAUGCUGCAGGAGCCGCUGUGGGUGCAGCCCUCGGGCGACGCGGCGGCUCAGCUCGUGUUGCGAUCGGUUGAGCAUGACUUGUUUGCGCGCGUGACCCAGCUGGCGACGGGACGCAAUGGAGGCAGCAGCAGCCACACUGCGCAGAUGUCCGAUGCCGACCUGUCUGCGCUGACGGCGGUGGUGGACAGCUACCGCGACGCGCUGCACAGCUUCCUGCGGACGGCGGCGGCGCAGUCGGUGAUGCAGUGCGAGCUGCGCAGCCGCGAGGUGCUGGUGGUAUGGUGCGCCUACUGUCUGGCGCACAAUGCUGAAGCGCGGCGGCAUGGACUGGUGCGGGAGUACCAGCCUGCGCUGCAGUUUGCCGACCUGCGGCACUUGGUGCUGUCGGACAGGCGGGCGGUGGACGCGCUGCUGGCGGUGGCGGCCUACCUGCACAAGCAGCAGCAGUGCGGUGGGCCGCUGCUGUUCUCGCUGCGGGAUGGCGGCAGCGGCACAUUUCGCUUCGCAGAGCGCUUUGCCGCCGCAGAUGGCCACCUUCAACAGAUCCUUGUGAGCGAGAGGCAGGAUGCGGACCGGCGACAGAGCGCCCACUGGGACAAGGUGCAGCAGCAGAAACGUGAUCUGCAGCAGGCUCGGCAGCAGCUGGCGGCCCUGAAAGCGGCGGAAACAUGCUUGCAUGAGCACUUGGUGAAGCACGAUCAGGAAACGACCUAUCUGCAGCAAGUACAACAACAGCUGGCGGCCCUGGAGAUGACGCAGGGGAGAUUGUGUUGGCAGCUUGCACAGCACGAUCGGGACAAAACAUAUCUGCAGCAAGCUCAGCAGGAGCUGGCGGCCGUGAGAAAGACGGAGCAGAGCUUGCGUGAGCAGCUUUCAGGAGCUGUUGAAACCACCUGUGUGUGGCAGCGUCAAAACCAGCGCGCCACGAUUGCCCGCAACAUCAGCACCAACGCCUCCCAGCAGAACCAGUGCAACUAUGAGAUCGCCAGGCUGGAGAAGCCGCCUGAGGCCGUGCUGCAGCCGCUGCCUGCAGCCGACGGCCUGGCGCGGCAGUGGCUGUUCUUCCUGCACAUGCCGCCUGCCUUCCGGCGCCUCGCACGCCUCAGCUUCCUGGCGCAGCAGGUGCUGCUGCCGCGGCCCCUUGGCGCCUGGAGCCCAGAGCUGGCAGCUGUGCAGAAAGCUGUGACGGUGCAGCAGCCACACACAUCCGCAGUCCAGUACUACAACCAGCGCCGCAGCUGCCGCACAUACUUAUCCUCUGCCGGUCAUCAGCUGGCAGACGGACAAGACGGCUGCGUCAAGUUGUAUGCGGACGGCCAGCUUCCCAGCCACGUUGGCCCCGCAAGCAUCGAGCUGUACACCUCUCCGGCCGACGGCGUGUGGCAUCCGGACUCCCUGCGGCCCAGCAUGCUGUGGGGCGGCAGCGGCAGCACCGCCGACAGCGGCAGCGGCCUCCCGUCGUACUUCAACCCGUUCGCGGCCGUGAACGAGAACACCAUUGAGGAAUUCUUCACGGAGCGGCUGCCGGACAGCGCGGCGGCGCUGCAGUGGGCGGCGCACCAGCGCAUCUCGGCGCAGGCCACACCGCCCGAGCGCAGCAACUGGGCACUGGCGGGCCAAGGUGUGUCACCAGACGUAGACAGGGCAGGUGCCUGCGGGUAAACACUACGGUACUGCUGGGCGCUUGAACCUACGACAGCUGUAAGGUUCACGGUUAGUUGCGGAGCCAUGUAAGCCUGCCCAUGCCCCCUAUCCUGUGCCUGCAGACGCCUGCCCGGCGGAGCUGCUGUCCAAGGCCGCCUUCCUGCAGUUCGGCCGCAUGCGCGCCUACCCGCUGCAGCAGCUGCGAAACCUGUGCGAGGUGCUGCGGCGGCAGGACCAGGCGCUGCCGCUUACCGAGCCGGCGGUGCAGGUCCUGCUGCGUCAGCUGCUGUUUCAUGUCGGCGCCUUGACCAUCGACAGCAACAUCAGCACUGAUGGCGCCCGGCCACAGCUGAUUUGGCGCACGGGCUGGGAGCAGCCCGGGGACGUGCUUGACACGCUGUGCUCGGAGCUGGGGGCCCUCGCCGACACCCUGGACGGCAAGGUGCGCGACCACGACGCCAUCCUGCUGUUGGGCGAGAUGGCGGCGUACCUGGCGGACUGGCACUCGCCAUGCAGCGCCGUGGCGCGCCGCUUUGCCGCGAUCGCCAUGCUUGAGGCGGACCGGAUGCAGGUGGAGCUGGAUGCAGCUGCGGGGCUGGCGGCAGACGAUCGGCGCGUGUCAGAGCUGCUGGCGCGGCUGGUGCGCUGGCGGGUGAUGGCACUGUUAUGCUACGGCGCCGGACCGCUGUCGCCCGCUGCUGCCGGCCGCGGCGCACGGCAGCAGCAGAGCAAGGACGCAGCCACAAUGGUGCGCCUGAUGGUGCAGGUCUGCCACGGCCUGACGUUUCAGACGGACAGGGCCAUGCAGCAGGAGCUAGAGCUUCUGCGCACUCGUGCGCACAACGUCAUGGCGUCCCGCGUGCAGCGCCUUGGGGAGCUGCUCACAUCUGAGGAUCUCACGGCGGCAGUGGCGAGCGUAUUGGAGCGCACGCCUGACUCGCUGCUCUGGCAGCGCCUCAGUCAAGCGCAGCAGCUCACAGCCUGCUACCGGGCUGAGGGCGCGGACGGGCGGCUCUACUCCAUCAACAUCCUGGACGGGACUGUGCUCUUCGACGGGUGGCCGCCCAGCCGGCUGCCCAAGGACAUUACUCAGCAUCCGCUGUACAAACGCACCUUCGGCAACUUCAACUUCGAGGUCGCAUUCACCGGCGGGGCAAGCUCGGCAAGUCAGGGCGGCGGUGCGGUGGUGCUACAGACGCUGCGCAAGGUGCGGGGCCGGCGCUACGACUUCCGCCUUUGCGCCGCAGCAGGUGGCAAGCAGCAGCAACUCGUGAUCACGGAGAUGGACGUGGAACACGGGGACGAGCGGCUCGAGCUGCUGGACGCGGGGCCGGACAGCAGCUGCGAGGGGUGGGGCGAGCAGCUGCCGGUGAGGCUGCGGGAGCUGCACAGCCACUGGCUGAGCCGGCAGCGCGGCGUGCUGGUGUUGCGGCCUCGCAGUUUCCAAGAGCAUGACUGCAUGUACGUCAUCACGUGCAUGUCAAUUAAAAGCAGUGGCAGCGUAGGAGGAAGCCUCCCAGUGCCCGUUAACACGGCCACACAGUGUGCGUACAGUUGCUGGCGUGUGCCGCGGCACUCGCAGUCGUGGCUCUGGCGGCAGCUGCUUCUUGCGGCGCCACCACUGCUGGUGGACCGCCUAGUGCUGCCGCAGGGCUCUAAGCUAGUGGACAACAUCCUGGCCAAAUUUGAGGAGCCGCGCUUCAUCCAUACCUUCCUCAGCGUCUCCAGCGAGGUUUCAUUCGAGCUGCCGCGCUGCGGCCUGGAAUUCAGCAUGCAGAGGAAGCGGCCGGGAUCUUUUUUUUGGGGUGGCGGCGAUGCCUGCUGCCAGCUCAUCUCACGCAACUACACUGGCUAUCGCUUGCGGCGGUUACAGCUGCUUGCGGAGUGCUGCGGCGUGAGUGGCUCCGCGGCAGGGGCGUGUGGCGACAACGGCAGCAACAGUAGCAGCAAUGCUGCAGCUGCAGCCGCGCGAGGCAUCUACACGCUGCCUGAGUUCCGACAGUACCUGGUCCUGGAGCGUAUCCCGCAGCCUGCGGUGGCGUCCAUGGGAGGUCAGCGCGCAGACGUGCUGGUGCUCGUGCCGGCGGGCGCAGUGCAAAGCAGCCUGUGGGAGGAAGGCAGCGGUGGAAAGGUAGCAGUCAGCGUCACCCUCCCCUCUGGCAGCCAGGCAAGCGUCAACUUCCACUGCUACGAAGUUCACGGGCGUUUCGGCCACCUGCGUGCGCCCAACCGCCUGGCGCGGCUGCAGCUGGCGGCGUUGUACGCCGCCACCUCCACGCUGCUGCCGGAGCCGGGCAGUCGCUGCACCGGGGCCCAGAUGGCCAUGGAGCUGCUGCGGCAGUGCUGGAGCACCCGGCCGCUUGAGGCGGCUGAGGCGGAACAGCUGGCGGCGGUGGGGCGCUUAGGCGGGCACCUGGCGCCUGGGUUGCAUUUGCUGGCACAUGACCUCGCGGCCAGUGCCGUGCAGCUCGCGCACCUGCAUGCGGUGCCGGCGGACAAACCUGCGGCGGCUGCAGCCGACGGCCCAGGCGCUGCCGGCGGUGGGGACAUUGCUGCCCGCUUUGAUGCGCAAGACACCGCCAUCAUGCCCCGGCUGUGUGCCGACCAUGCUCAAGCCUACGAGGAGCUGCAGAGGUCCGCACACGCCGCCCUACCGCCUGGCUGGGGCGCACACCCGCGGCUGCUGCUGACGCCCGUGGAGGAGGAGCGGACUGUGGGUGUGCACGUGCCUCGUGAACCCCUGCCCGCGUGGCAUCGGUUGCGCCAGUUCGAGGCCAUUGCUGCGCUUGGCGAGGCCCUGCCGCUGGCAGUUAGCUAUGUGGAGGAUACGGAGGCAGAGCUGCAGGACUUGCUACUGCCGCCGGCACCCGCAGUGGAUGGCGCCAGCAGCCAGGCGAUGCCGCCCUACCCGCUUUCAGCGGCGGCUCGUGUGCGUCAACGGCGGCACCUUGAGGCGGAGAUGCACGCUGAGCUGGAGGACAGCUGGAACGCCCACCAUUUGCAGCGGGACCUUGCGACGUACAGCGUCAAGCCCGGGUGCCUGGACCGCGUGCGGGCAAUGCAGGCAAGUACGGUAGUGCUAGCAUCCAGGACGGCGGCCCUGUUGUGCGCAGCCUUUGUCAUUGACCACCGUUUGCGGCUGAGUACACCCCUGCUCGUGCGUUUCCGCUGCUGCAGGCUACGACAAGCCGCCACCGCCGCAACCUGGAGGCCCACCUGCUGCACCAGCUAAUGCAUGUGCCCGAGUCUGUGGGCUGCCAUGGAGCCAGCAUCCGCUUGCUGCGCGCCGCAGCCACCGCUCCCGCAGCCGGGCCCCUCGACCUGGCCCGUGUGGCGGUGCGCCCAGAGCUCGUCAAUGAGUUCAACCCCUUCCUAUCGCCGGAAGCGGCGCAGGAGCUGCAGCGGCGGGUGCGGUUGUGGCUGAGGCUGUGUGUGCUGGAGGACAGGCUCGGGCGAAUCGUGGCGCUGGCGGCGGCGCGGAGGGCGGAAGGCGACUGCCUGCCACAACUGGUGCAGGUGCGCAGGGGAGACGGCUUGAUGUGUUCUAAUCUUGUGCUGCACGACAUAAACGUAUUCUACGCCAAUCCGCUUGUUUGCAGGAGCUGAGCGUGCACCGCACGUGGGACGCGGCGGCGCACCCCGAGUGGCUGGUGUUCGAGGUGGAGUCGCAGCUGCAGAUCCGGCCGCAGCAGCACACCGUGGCCCGCAUGCUGAUGGAGGGCGGUGACGGGCCCAUCGCGCAGCUCAACAUGGGCGAGGGCAAGACGCGCGUCAUCCUGCCCAUGCUGCUGCUGGCGCUGGCGGACGGAAAGCGGGUGGUGAGUCCCUACCAGCUCACCUGUACAACGCACAUGCAAAUACUUGCCUGAUACAUGAGGCUAACCCACGCUUGCAUCCUCAGGUGUCGCUGACGUUCCUGUCCACGCUGCUGGAUGAGGCCUACGCCUACCUACACGGGGCGCUGUGUGCGGGCGUGCUGGGCCGCAAGCUGUUCACGAUGCCCUUCCAACGCGACAUCGAGCUGACACCGGCGCGUGCCAUGCGCAUGCGUGCAGCCCUGGCGCACUGCAUGCGAGUAAGUGGCCGGCCACCGUGCCGUGCAGAGUUCAGCUUGAAUAUACUUGCACGUGUAAGAAACGCCCACCAACAUCCGAUCCAGUAUCAGCACUUGUCUACCUGCGUGCCCUCAGGAGCGCGGUGUGCUGCUGCUUGCACCGGAGCACCGCCUGUCGCUGGAGCUCAAGUGGAAGGAGUACCUGCUGCAGCUGCGGCAGGCAUCGGUGCCAGCAGCUGCAGGCACGGGCAGUAACGGCGGCGACGUGGAGGCGCUGCUAGCCGCUGUGCUCAAGACGCCGGUCCUCAGCAUCCUGGACGAGAGCGACGAGCUGCUGCACCACAGGUGCGAAGUAGUCCUUGAUUUGGCACGUAUGGGCACGACACUGGUGUAAACCUCACAACUCGACGGAGCGUUGACUGCUGACUUCGUCUGCUGUUGCAACAGGUUCCAGCUCAUCUAUGCGUGCGGCGGCAGGGUUCCCCUGGUGUCCUUCGAGGCCCGCACCGGCGCCAUGCGGGCCGUGCUGGGUGCUGUGGCCCAGCUCGCCAACAGCGGCCAGCUGCAACUCCCGCACUCCACUCGGGUCCUGGAGCCGCCGCCUGCUGUGGACCCUACCGACGCAGAAUGCUCCGUGGGCUCUGCUGCUGUUCCGGCGGGCGCGUUCUGCGGCCUGCGGCUGCUGCCGGGCCCGGACCUGGAGGCCGCACUGCCCGCCUUCCACCAUCAGCUGGCGCGUCACGUGCUGGACCACCCGCCCUUCGAAUUCCAGAAGCUGACGAAGCUCCUGGACGAGGGUUCAAAGGUCGGUGCAUGGCUUGCGCUGCCGUUUCUGUUGCUGCCUGGUGGUUGAUUGUGCGGUACCUGCAGAGCCGCCCGAACCCCUGGUACCGCCCAUGCGUGUGCACAGGUGCGGGUCAUGACCUGCAUCACUGACGCGGACACGGAUGCGGAGACUGCGUUGGGCGCGGAGUUGCUUGACAAGCUGGCUGGCGGGGUGCUGCACUCGUUUGUGCUGGCGCUGCGCGGGCUGCUGGGCUGCGGCCUCCUGCGGCACGGGCUGACGCUGCGGCACAACGUCGAGUAUGGCAUAGACAGGUACGGUGCACCCUCAGGGCCUCGGGCUAUGUCACGCUGAAGAGUAACAUGGCAACUCCACCUGCCCUUGCCGAGUAAAGCGUGUGCUCACAAAAUGCCUGUCUGCAGACGCACGGCCGCUGCUGGUGUCCGCACGCGCAUGGCCGUGCCGUACCGUGCCGCGCACACGCCCUCGGAGCGCUCCGAGUUCGCGCAGCCCGACGUGUCGCUGCUGCUGACGCACCUGGCCUACCGCUAUGAUGGGCUGACCCUGCCCGAGUUCACUGCCGCGGUGGAACGGCUGCUGCACGGGCUGGGCAAGGAGGCGGCUGCCGACCACUACCGGGAGUGGCUGGUGCUGUCGGCUGAGAGCAUCCCGAAGGGUGAGUUUGUAGCAUGCCGAAAUGCGCUCCUGCCCAAUCAAAGCUCGGCCCGACUCAUGGACAUGAUGCGUAAUCGUUUCGCUCGCGCUUUUUCUGUGGCCUCGUGAAACUGCAGAGGAGCUGUCUCGCUUCAAGGAUGUGAACCAGCUGGACGCCAGCAGCGGCUCCCAGAUGGCGGCCAUGCACCGCCACCUGCGCCGCAACACCGCUGUGGUGGACUUCUGGCUGCGCUUCUGUGUGCUGCCGGCCGAGACGCGGCAGUACCCGCAGCGGCUUGGCGCGAGUGCCUGGGACCUGGCGGCGGCAGGUGGCCGCGUCAUGGGCUUCAGCGGCACCAACGACAACUACCGGCUGCUGCCGCUGCGUGUGCGCCAGGCGGCGGCGGAGGACCCUGCGCUGAAGGCCACCAACGGCAAGAUGCUGUCCGUCCUCCUGCAGAACACCCACGGCUUCCACACGCUGCCGCCCGCGGAGGUGAGCGCCAGCAGCUCGCUCUGCUAGGAUCAUUUGCAGAGACAGGCGUUACGGCAUUGUUUGCGAGGUGGAAUCUGUUGCAGAUGUCUCUCUCAUUUCUGCGAGCCUGUGCCCUUGCUUGUCGCAACAGGACGCUGGCGGCGUGGCGGUAUGGCAGUCCCUCCUGCAGAUGGCCCUGGACAAGUCGGCACACGCGCUGAUCGACUGCGGAGCUCUGCUGGCGGGCACAACCAACAGGUGGGCAACGGACUGGGCAACGGACUGCUGGCGAGGCAUCCAGCUCGUGCUCCAUACUAAGUGGACAAGCAAUCAAGGCCCUUGCCAACCUGCUGAUAAUCGCCAUAUUUGCGCCUGUCCCUCUGCGCACACAGGCAUGCCGCGGAGUUCCUGCUCGCCGAUCCGCGCCUGCAGCAGCUCGGCUUCCGGGGCGUCACAUUCUACGCCGAGAGGGAGCGCGGCUGGGCGGUGCUGGAGCUCACCGGCCGCUGCCUGCCCCGCUCCAGCUCGCCGCUGCAGGAGCACGAGACGUUUGUUAUCUAUGAUGAGGCGCGCUGCCGCGGCGCGGACCUGAAGCUGAAGCGGAAUGCGGUAGCGUUGCUCACGCUGGGGCCGCGCGUGUGCAAGGACAAGCUCAUGCAGGCGGCGGGGCGGCUGCGGCAGCUUGGCCGAGGCCAGGCACUCCGCUUUGCUGCGACGGCCGACAUUGCUGCCCGCGUGACAUUGCUGCCCGCGUGGCUGAGUGCCCGCGUGACAUUGCUGCCCGCGUGGCUGAGUACCCGCGUGACAUUGCUGCCCCCGUGGCUGAGUACUGCGGCUCCCGCAUCAGCCGGCGGUACAGCCAGCAGUGCUGCUGGCGCGUGCCCUCGCGCAGUCGACGUGCUGGCGUGGGUGAUGGGCAACACCGUGGACGCCAACCUGCACGGCGUGGCGCUGUGGGCAGCGCAGGGGCUGCAGUUUGCGACCGCGCUGGGCGCUCCGCAGCUCUCCCUGCAGGAGGAGGUGCUGGGGCUGGAGGAGCUUUAUGCGGGGAGCAAGGCGCCACGCCCGGUGGUGGCGGUGGUGGCGGCGGCGGCAGCCAAGCAGCUGCGUUGGCGUCAGAAGCAGUGCGGCUCAUCAGCAGGCGGCACGGCAGCCGGAGGACGGCGGAUGUACACAGCGGCAGAGCUGAUGGUUGAGAUCCAGGACCUGGCGGCACGCUACGGCGAGGGCCACACCGUGCGUGCCGGCAGCGGCGCGGACGACACGUGUGAGCGGGAGCUGGAGCUGGAGCAGGAAGAGGAAGAGGAGCAGGAGCAGGAACGGCAGGUUCCCAAGCAGCGGCCCGCGCCGGAGGCAGACUGGUCAUCGUACAGGUGUAUCAACUCCUCAACUAUGGACCAACUCACAUCCGAAACACGCUGUAGGCUGCUGCCACUCCGCGAUGCGGUGACCCGGCUGGACAGCCAGGACCCGGCGCAGCCCAUGGCGGCCCUGCCCUGGUCGGACAAGGUGUACGUCAGCCACAACUACCUGCACGCCAUUGCGGGGCUGCCGCCGGGCCAGCCGCUGAACGAGUACCUGCGGCCGGUGGGCUGGCUGCUGGUGCUCAAGCGCGGCGAGGUGCUGCUGCUGUCGGAGCGCGAGGCAGACCAGCUGCUGGCAGCGACCUGGGCCGAUGCACCGGCCGCGAAGGGCACCACCAGCUUCCGCCACCGCCUGGUGCGCUACCUCGCGGACACCGCCUCGAAGCGGGGCCCACUGCUCGUGAGCCAGGCGUACGCGUGGCAGGCGGCGGCGGUGUCCUCGGCCACGCGGCCGCUGCUCGUCACCGACCUGGGUUUGACGACGGCCGGCAUUGUGCAGGACGCCGCGGACGCGUGGGCUGAGCUACGGCGGCGGCUGGGUGUUCGGGAGCUGGUAAGCGUGCGGGUGUUUGCCGGCGAGACCUCGUACCGGGUCACGCGACUUGCAGGUGCCAACGGCACCGCAGCCAGCAGCGGUUCAGCAGCCACGGCAGCAGUUGAGGCGGAGCUGCAGCGGCUGGUGGCGGGGCGGCGGCCGCAGGUGCAGCAGCUACUGGUGAUGCGCGGCCGUCAGUCGCAGAUGGCGCGCAGUGACCUGGAGAAGGCGGUGGAGGGGCUGCAGCUGCAACUGUAGAGAGGGGUUGCGUAUGCGCACCCCCGACGGCUGGCGCGGAUUGAUGGGGCUUGCGGCGGGGCUGGACGGUUAAGUUGUGGUUUGGUGAACUGACGUGGAGGGCUUGAACCUGAAUGCCAAACAGAUUAAGGGUUAGUGGCACUCCAUUGUGCAUGUUGCGUAUGCAAGUGGUGGAACAAGGGAUGCUCGGUACGCAUUGGAAAGUGGCUGGUGCGGCGAUGCAGGGUUGUUUGCGGGGCUGGACAGCAAGGCUGUUGUGAAGGGCAGCCUGUGAGUGCCAGUUGAGCGCGGUAGGCUUGGCUGCGAAGAGGUAUCGUUGCAGACACGUUGCCUACGUUGCUGAAGCCAACUAUGGAUUAGAGCUGUCGCUCGGCUGAUCGAGAGAAUGGUUGAUUGUUGGAUAAACGUAGUGACUCAAUGCCACAGUGCGGCACUGGAAAGCGAUUGUGCACUUUACAGCACCUGAAAACGUGUCCGGAAUUAGCACCUGCUGGGGUGGCAGCCGAGGACCGUAUGUAGAGGCGGUAUACCUCUAGCCCGCCUUCACCCACGCCUCCAAUAGCUCGGACACAGCCGCCACGCCCCCCAGCCGCCCAUACCGCGCCCGCAGCGCCACCAGCAGCGCACCCGCCUCGUCUCGCCCCCACCCCGCCGCCACCAGCGCCCGCAGCUCCGCCUCCUCUUCCCCUGCCGCCACCUCUUCCCCUGCCGCCACAUCCUCUUCCCCCUGCCGCCUAGACCGCUGCCCAACCUCCUUACCGCCACCGGAGUCAAGCCCACUGGCCCGCCCUGCGCCCUGUCCUCGCCCCCGCAACCGCCGCAGCUCCUGCAGCACCCCCAGCGGACCCCCCUCCGCCGCCCCCGCCGCCGCCGCCGCCCCCUCCGCCGCCCCCUCCGCCGCCGCCAUGGCCGCCUCCACCGCGGCGUCCACGUGGAAGGCACUGCCCGGCACCGCCGCCGCUGCCAGGCCCAGUAGCCGCAGCCGCCGCGCCCGCAGCAGCCGCUCCUGCCGCGCCGCCCAGUCCGGCGCUGCUCCCACCACCGCCCCCGACUCCACUGCCUCCACGCCGCCAGCACACUCUUGCCCCUCCUGCACCUGGUUCUGCUGGCACUGGCGCUGAGAGGCCAUCAAUGCCACCCUUCGACACGUGAUGGACAGGUCCAGAGCGCCACUCACACAGAACUGCAGCCACCGCCCCUGCUCUGAGUCCUGAUGCUCUGCUGACGUCGGCGCAGCGCCCCCCAGCGCCGCGUCCACCUCCGCCGCCACCGCCUCCACCAGCCGGUCCAGAGCAUUCGCCAGCGCCAGCAGCUGCCCAGCGGCUGUGCUGCUGCCACUGCUCCCGCUACUGCCGCCACUGCUUGCCGCGAGCUCGCCUGCAGCCGCCGCUUCCUCCGCGCCUGCCAGCGCGGCUCCCAGCAGCUGAUCCACCCAGGCCGCCGCCGCCUCGUCACACACCAGCGCUUCGCCCUCGUCCUCCUCGCCCUCGCCCUCCUGCCCCUCGUCAAGCCCCUCCUCUUCCCCUUCCUCCUCGUCCGCCUCCGGCUCCGCCUCCACGCCUGCCGCCGCUCCCGACGCGACCAGCUGCAUGAGUCGGACCGCCGCCGGCGCCGCGCGCGAGUCCACUGCCUGCCAGGCCGCCAGCAGCAGUGCCGGCAGGCGCGGCCGCCGCCCCGCCGCCCCAGUGUCAGUGGCCAGCAGCAGCUGCUGCUGCGCCGCCGCCGCCGCCUGCUCCGCCAGCUGCUCCUCCAGGCAGCAGCGGCUGCAGGCGCACGUGAAGCCGUACUGGGCCUGCAGCGCGGCGCGACGCACCUGUGCAGCGCGUGUCGAGGCAGUGCGGGGGCGAUGCGGGGGCUUGACAUGGCACCAUACACUGGCAGUAUUGGCAGUAUGGGCACAUGCAUGGCCGCCACGCAGAUGGCGGCACUAGCAGCGGUGUUGCCCGGAGGCAGGGUGAUGUGCAUGGUUACAGUGGGUAUGCACCAGCCGCCCUGUGCUGCCUGCCGUACGCCCCGCCCGCUGCGCGCACGCACCUGCAGUGGCGCCGCCAGCUCCGGCCCCAGGUAGCUGUCACACACCUCCUCGCCCGCACGGAUGCGGCGAACUGCGCGCACCUGUGCAAAUGCGCGCCGCGUUCACCACACCCACAGCACCAUCACAGCACAUGCCGCACAUGCCACACAACAGACCGCACCGCUGCUACGAGCCCCACGACGGAGCCGACACGGCUGCACGCCCUCCCGAGGGCGCACGGCCCCACGGCCCCACAUACGCUCACCGGCACCAUUGCGCAAUGCAUCCCAGUGUGCCCUGUCCCCCGUCAGCCCCAUCUGGCUGGGCACGGGGACAUCAUUCCCGCGGGCCCCUCCAGGGCCCUCCCCGCCGACCCGUCCCCCCCUGCCCCGCUCCCCCGCACUCACCACCAUGGCCCUCCCCACCACGUACUGGCACACGGCCGGCGCACACGAGUGGUUCAUGAGCGCGUGCUCCGUCCACAACCCCGUGUGGCCGGGCCGCUCCCGCAGCAGCCGCCACCAGCGGCCCUGCGCGGCACUGCUGCCACCGCUGCUACUGCUGCCACUGGUGGUGCUGGCGGCAGAGGCGCUGCUGCUACUGCCGCCAGCGUCAGCGGCUGUGGCCGCCAGACGCAGGAAGGGCAGCGCCGCCAGCUCUGACAGCCCCUGCCGAGCCGCCCCCUCGGCGUCAGUAGUGCUACUGCCAAGACCGGCUGCUACUGCCGCCAACCCCAGCCCCUCCUCCGCGGCUGCCAUGCGCACCGCUGCUACAGCCGCCUCUGCCGCCGCAAUGCCGGCGGCUGGGUCCAUAGUGGCCUCGGAGAAGCAGUUGAGCUGUAGCAGCCUCAACACCCGGCUGUAGCUCAGCCCACCACCAUCACCGCCGCCACUGCCACCGCCGCCGCCAUUCCUGCCCGCUGGCUGUGCUACUGCCGCCGCGCCCUCAGGCUCCUGCCGCGCGGCUGUAGCAACAUCCAGCCGCUGCAGCUCCUCCAGCAGCGCACCUGCGUCCGCGAUGACGUGGUCACACGUACAUGGCAACGGUCCGGGACAAGCUAACACUUGGCAGACCUGACACGUGGGGUGUGACUUGGGCCCAGAGUUCCAGCUACCAACACCGACCACGGCCCCCACACUGCUGGCGGCCGCGGGCCACCUGCAUGCAGCGCAGCGGCCACCUCCUGCAGCCCGGCACCUCCCCCCCGCCAAGCCCUCCAUCCGCACACGCUCUCACCCACCCAUGUUGGGGCAGGCCUGCAGGCUGGCGGCACUGCCGUCAUAGCUCAGCGCCAGCAGCCGGCGCUGGGCGGCACUCAGGGGCGGGCCGCGCGUGAUGCGCCGAGCCAGCGCCUCCACCGGCGGAGCGUCGCCCUCAUCGCCCUCCUCCUCUUCCUCCUUAUCCUCCUCCUCCUCUUCUCCCUCCCCCUCCUCUUCUCCCUCCUCCCCCUCCCCCUCCUCCGCCUCCUCGCCCCGCCCGCCGCUGUACACGACCGCCACCGGCAGUGCCACCAGCACCAGGUCACCGGGGCGCAGCUCCCGCACCGCCACCAGGCCCCGGCCCCGGCCUGUGUGAGGGUGUGGAGAGGCGACCGAACGGAUGCGGGCGGGGAGGAAGGGGUUUAAGAGGCGGUGUUGGAGGCAGUUAAGCAUGUGCUGGAUACAUGUUGAAGGCACUGAGCGCUUGCCGGUACCAGUGCGUGCCUGUGUAAAAGGGACGGCUGGGCUCCCUUGUCUCAACCCCCCUGCGCCUCAGUCCAACCUGCCCUACACCCCUGACUUGCGCCGCGCCGCACCUGGCAGCUGCCUCAGCUCCACGGGGCCGUAGUGGCGUGGCAGAGCGCUGCACCGUCCGCCCGCACCACCACCCCUGCCCCUGUGAAAGCCGCCGCCGCCGCCGCCGCUGCUGGGUGCAGGGAAGAGUCUGCUCGAGCGGCUCUUUGGCCGUGCGGGCCAGGGACUACCAGUGAUUGCGGCCACUGACGCUGUGCUGGCAGCUGGGGGCAGCUGCUGGGGCCGCGUGGUGAUGCCAGCGGCGGCGGUGGCGGAAGAGAACGCAGCGGCAGCGGUGGCUGCUGCCGCUGGCCUGGCGCUGCGCGUGAACGUGCAAUGCAGCAGGCGCCAGCAGGCGCCUGGCGCCUGACGCGGAUUUGGUGCUGGUGCCGCCGAUUUGCAGCUCGGCAGCGUGCGGCUGGUCGGCAGCACAUGCCGCGAACCCGGGAGGCACGACGCGUUACUGGAGCCGCUGGCACUGGCACCACGUUGGGCGCCGACACCGCUGCUGCCGGCUGCGCAAUGCAUGACGGCGUUUGCACCAAUUACUCAGUCUAGCCGGCUUAUCACAACUUAGAUUGUGCUAGCCCGACGAUGUUCUUUAGCUUGGCAGCUGCAAAGCGCACAUGGUCACAGUCACGAAUGAGUCCCCCAAUUCUUGUCAUGGCAUGCAGCGGCCUAGCUUCAACUUGCAUUCGGGUAGUUCUGUUCCAUGGCACACAGUGUAAAGCUUCAUGUUAUUAAUGACGAUAGGCAAAUUGUCUUGCCGAGUGAAACUGGAUCCACCUGCUGUCCCCAUCGUCCUUCAGGUGAUUUCGGUUGAGCCACAAGGGGUUUCCUGAAGGUGGCAUGAGGGGCAGUCAUGGCCGGGAGUCCAACCGAGUUCCAGGCUGCACGCGCUGGUAUGACUGCGGGUUUAGACCAGACCUGGUUCCGACCGGCGUGUGCUGACUGGCACGCCCUUCCCCCUCCCCUGCAACGUCAUCCAAUGCAGGGCAUGUCUACACCGGCUUUGCACUCCAAUAAACUUCGCCAGCUCCUCCAUUGCUGACAUUAGGUUACAUACCACAUCACGAGAGCUGCGGCACCAGUCAGGCCACGGGAGCCCACUUGCACGCAAGCGAGAGUCUUUUGCCCGCCGAGGUCCUGGCGCAUAUUGCAUGCUACACGGCUCGCUAUAACUCACAAGUCCCUAACCGACGUGAACUAUCGUGUGCUCGUCUGCAAAUGGAGCCCGAGAUGCCUGCAAUCCUCCCGAAUUUGCCGAACUCUGUGCUCACUUCAAUCUUCAACAAAAUUAUAAGGAUAUCCAAUCCCGGCCAGCUCGUCAAGCUUUCGCUGGUGCGAUUCGGGCCAGCGCGCCCCUCCUCCUCGCUGGGCACACUCAGUCCUCAGCCACGGUCCACUCUGUGCUGACACUGUUGCCGCCAGCUGCCAUCAACAAGCUACGCUCCCCGUCGCAGGCAUGUCGCAGCCUGCGUGAAGCGGUCGUUCGCGCCGAGGGGCUGUGGGAGCGGCUCUGUGUCAAGCAAGGAUGGAGGUGCGGGCACAACACGCCUGCUGCAGUCUGGUGCCCUUGAUUCGUUGUCACCUAACGAACUAGCGCGUGUGUGCGUCUCUGCGACCCCUUGUGCAGCCAACGCCAGCGCCUGCCUCGGCCGCUGCCGCCGCUCGAGUUAGCGCAACCGGGACCUGAGGAGGCCGGCAGCAGCGUAGGUGGCGGUGGAGGCACCGCUACUGCUGGUGCUACAGCCACCGCCCCUGCCGCCACGCCAGCGGCGCAGAGCCUGCCCCUGUCCCUGUCGGACCUGGACCUGCACUGGUACCUGUACUAUGCCCGACGCAUGAUGCUGCGGCGCGACGUGCGGUGAGGCCUUGGGGGCGUGAGGGGGCGGGCGUGCGGCUUAGGGUGAUCACCGGUGGGACGGGAAGGGCGUGGCGCUGCGGCGGUUGACAGGAGGACAGCAGAUGACCAUGACCUUGGCACCGCGGUGCGCCAUCAAGCACUCGCCUCGCAGGCGAUCAGUUGCACCCAGGCAAAUCCUACCCACGCGCGCUGCCCCCGCCCCCAGGCGCCUGUUCAAGCUGUACGAGCGCUUCAUGUCGCGGCCUGGCAGCAUGGCGCUGUGCCCGGGUGGGUCGGGUGGGUGACCGUGGGUGGGUGGGCCAGUGCGCGAGAUGGCGAGUGGGCGGGCUAGCGCACUGCGUAUGUGCCGUGCCGCAUAUAACUGAUAUGCAGCAAUAGGUUUACUUGGUGAUCGCCGGUCCUGCCUUGCGUGAUUUAAGGUAGUUUUUGACGUACCUGUAGUUCCUUGAUGUCUGCACACGCUGCCGCCCAGUCCACAUCCGCACGGCCACACCCCUCCUUGGCACGCACCCGAGGUGCUCCCCCGGCGGCUCUCCUCCGGAGUGUGCAGGGGCGUCGCCGGAGGAUUUGGCCGCGGCGGAGCAGGCGCUGGGGCUGGCGGGCGGUGCCGGCAGCGCCGGAGGCGGCAGUGGCGGCAGUGGCGGCGGUGGCGGCGGUGGCGGCGGUGGCGGCGGUGGCGGCGGUGGCGGCGGUGGCGGCGGUGGCGGCGGUGGCGGCGGUGGCGGAGGCGGGCUGCCUGCCGAGGUGUGGGAGCUGUACCGGCACCGCAGCGGCCAGGCGCCGGGGGCGUUCGUGACGUUCGUGGACGACAUGCGGCUACUGGGUGGGUGCGGGCUGAAAGGGGAGGGCAGGCCAUGAACUGACCUCCGGGCCACUCGUCUAGUCCUCUUGCACAUCGCGAAAGUGUAGGGAAUGCCUUGUCCUAUUUACAUACCGUACAGCCCCAACGCACUUCCUCAACGUCGCCGCCGCCGCGCCCAGGCCUCCACGAGCUGGCCGUGGAGGCGGCGCCGGGGCUGCCGGAGCUGCAGCAGCGGCUGGCGGCACUGGGCAGGCAGCACAGCCCGCAGCCGCAGCGCCCGGCACUGCCCGCAGCCGCAGCCGCAGCCUCCACCGCCGGCCCGGCGGCAGCCGGAGGGGAAGCAGCUGCCUCCACCGCCGCUGCAGCAGCAGCAGCAGUAUCAGAAUCGGCCUCAGCAGUAGCGCCAGCUGCACCCGCACGCACGCGGCCCGGCGGCGACUCGCAAGGGGCGCAGCAGCCAGAGCCGCAUGCGGCGCCAGCAGCCGGGGGCGGCACGGCCGGUGGCCCAGGCGGCCCGGUGCAGCCCACAGGCCUCGUGCCCGGGAGUGACACCUACGGCAGUGGCAGCGGCAGCGGCAGUGGCACCGCCGGCGGUGUGGUUUCGCCGGCAGGCGGCGGCGGGGCGCUGCUGGCAGGGGGCCGCCCGCAGCUUGACCCGCUGUCAGAUGAGCGGGUGGUGGCCAUCGCCGCCAACGCCAGCGGCUCGCGGCGCUUCCUGGUGGCGGUGGGCACAGGCCACGUCUACAUCGCCCGAGGUAGGGAUGGGAGGAGCUGGUCUGGCGGCUGGCUGGUCUGGCGGCUGGCUGGGGUGGUGUGGUGGUGGUCUGGUGGCGGCUGGCUCCGUGGGUGGGAACAGCACCUGUGUUCGUUGUUAUGUCCUAGCCAGGCCCCUUUGUCACCAACGGUUUCGCCCCCGCUCCCCCGCAUGAUCCCGCCUGGCUCAGGCCUGUCGCUCGUCUUCUACGCGCCCGGCGUGGCGGCGCUGCUGCAGAAGCUGCUGACCUAGGGCCGGCGGGUGCGCACCAGUGGCGGGGUGUGAGGCGGGCGGCGCCGGCAGGUGUGUCGACACGGCGGCGGGGCGACACAGCGUGCCGCCGCGAGCCCCACGGGAGAGCACACGCACUGUGCAGCAUAGCAGCGGAGGAGCGUAGCCUAUGCCAGGCUACCUAGCGGCCUGUUCAGGUCUGGAUUGCGUGCGGGUGGGGCGCAGCGCCUGGGCGAAGGGAGGCUGAGGCCCCCGGUUAUCCCCGAGACCCGAGAACAUGUAAACACCGCGGACGACAAUCAAGAGGCAGGCUGAUGUGAUGGUAACGUAACGGAUUUGUUAGGUCAGGGGCAGAGAAGUUGUUACCAGGUUAAGAGUGUGUUGCCGGGGGCAUGUCGGCGAGCAAGGGUGGAGUUGUCGGGACCCUUGAGGGGGAAAGUGCGGGAUUUGCUCAUGCGGCGUGCCAAGCCCAGGUCGUGUAACCGCCGCUUGCCUUCCACAGCCAAAUCUUCAUUCAUUGUCAACAUUUUACAGACCUGGACAUAUAGCACAACUCUAGCGGUUGUGGGUCCGCUUCCUUUCGUGUCGAGAACCGAAUCAACAACGACUCCUUUUACAAACACGCUAGCCUUCGGGGCACCGCGCCAGCAUGCAUAGCCCAUUAAGCCCGUCAGGGCUGGGCACACAACGCUCGCCGGUGGCUCGCGGUCGCGGUCGCAAGCAUGUCGCCGGAGUCGUGAAAGGAGCGGGGCCUAUGAGCCCGCGACACAUGUCCAAGCAAGCAUUUUACAUGGUAAAAUGCACAAUGCGUUCAGGGAUACUACUUGAUGCUGCGGACGCCAUGCGGGGGAUGCUGAAGCGUCGCGAGCUUAGUUUUGUAGCGCCUGCACAGCCUUAAACAUGCAGCCUUGAAAAUUCUGGUUAUGGGCAGUGCCGGCUCGGCUCCGCAUGGCCGCGCCCGCCCUUGUUCCUCGAGACGCUUUGCUUUAUGCCGAGCGCUGUCGCAGCAAUAUGGGGAUGUGUUCAGAUACAUAAUGGGCAUAGUUGACGACCGACCCAGCUGUUCGUCGCUCGCCGGGCAAGUGCUGCUAACACUAGCUACACACUCACAUGUGCAAGCAUCCUGGCCGAACCGCUGCAGCACGCGCUGCCGGAAUCCUGUGUACGUGUUAAGCACCAUCAUGUCCCUUAUACGCGCAGAGUCCGACACGUGGCCCUUCUGCAACGCCUGCGGCGACCGGGCCGGGUGCCGAGGGUGCGGGGCUGGACAUUGCCGCACUGUUCCGGAGGGUUUUGAGCAACGGUGUCCAGGUGCGGGGCCAUUUCGGGUUGACGGCGCUGGUGGGGGGGCUGGACACGGAUGGGUUGUGUUGGUACCCGCGACAGCGCGGGUUGAGCAACGAGUGCCCGGGUUUACGGUACACGCGCGCGUCGAUCGGCCACACAGGCUGUUGUAAGGGUGGCCGUGCUGUCGCAGGCUGCACAGCAGCGCAGUGCCCACGUGUCAGGCCGCUGUGCUGCCAGGUCGCUGCAGCGUCAAUGACAUUUACGCAUAAUGCGGUCGCAUCAUGGCCACACAGGCCCCUCGGGAAAGGUUUGCCAGCUCCCCGUCCUUUCAACCGCCCCCCGUUGCCCCCGCCCUCUCCCGUGCCAUCCAUGCACUCCCCCAACAGGAUGACAGCGCCGUGGCAGCCUCCGCUCCGCACACCGUCACGGCUGCUGACGCCUACGCCCACACCGCCGCCCAGUACGGCAUGCCGCCGGGGCCCUUCGCCUCCACCGCCACCUCCGCCUUCUCCAGCGGCGCCGGCGGCGGCGGCGCGCAGCCGCUGGCGUCCCUGGCAGACCAGGUUCUGGCAGACGCCGCCGCCGCCGCCCACGGCGAGGACCCGGUGGCGGCGGCCCGGCAGCUGCAGUCCUUCCUGGGCCAGUACCAGCACCAGUACGGCGCGGAGACGGACGCGCGCAUCGGCGCCGCCAUCGCCAAGCUGCAGGACUACAUCGACGGCGCCGCCGCCGGAGGCGGCGGCGGCAGCGCCGCCGGCCUGCGGGACGCGCUCGGCGCCUUUGGCGCCGCCGACACGUCAGCGUCGGCGGCGGCGGCAGCCGCCGCCACUGGCGCCGCCGCCGGCGCCUCCGGCGGCGGUGGCGAGGCCCCCGUGUACCACAACUACAUCCUGGAGCAGCUGACGGGGGUGUUGGACUGGGUAAACAACCUGCUGGUGAGGAACGGCACGCCCAAGCCGUUCGUGUACGACGCCUACGGGCGGGUGGUGGAGGACGCGGGCGCGGCGGCCUCGGUGGAGCAGCAGCAGGAGCAGCUGCGCGCGGCGUCGCAGUCGCUGCGGCUGCUCAUCCAGCAGCUGCAGCAGGUGUGGGGGAGCGGGAGGGGGCGGAGGCAGGGGCCCCCGGGGGUGUUGUCCUGGAGUUGGAUUGUCGACAAGGUCAGGGCAGGGUGUGUGCACUUGGGCCUGCUGGGUCGCCGCCUAGCCAGGCUGCCGUUGGUGGGGUUGCCGAAGGUCUGGGGUCGCAUGGCACUAAGGUGCGGAGGGCGGGUUGCCGGCUUUUUGGUGGCUAAGGCGGCGUGACAUCCCAAACCCCAGCGCAACCCAACCCACCCUUCAUCACCGCCUCCCCCCCCCACACACACCCAGGUGAACACCCAGUACGCGGCCAUGGCCGACAGCGAGGAGCGCGCCACCAUGGGCCAGGUGCUGACGCAGCUCAACACCAUGGCGGACCGCCUGGCGGUGGCAGCCACCCGCCGCCCGCUGCCGCACCUGGAGCCCGGCGCCGCGGUGGGGCUGGACCUGGCGCCCUACGUGCCGCCGGAGCAGGUACAGGAGGUAACUCCUGACGCGAGCUGCUGCGUGUAGGGGAGGAGGGGGCUGCAUGGCGUGCCGGGGCGUGUCCGUAACCCUGCAGCCGUGUCGCUGAAUUCGACCUCCCUCACCUGACCAGUCCACUUGGCCUGCGCCGCCCCUCACCGUGCCUCCCCAUCUCUCUGCCCUCCCCAUCUCUCUGCCCUCCCCUCCCCCCCCCUCCCCUGCAGCUGUACGGCGUGGACAAGUACCGCGACCCGGUGCUGCGUGUGCUGGACGGCAUCUACAGCGCCGUGGUGGUGGACAGCGGCCUGCGCGAGUUCCUGGCGGGAGUCAAGCAGCUGGGCGACAGCCUGGCGGACAGCAUGGCCGUGGUGGGUGCCGGGGGGGGGGCGGGGCGGCAGUGUGCUGCAUGAGCGCGGUAGGACGUUUGAUAGGCUGGUAGGGGCCGCGGGACAAGGGAGCGUGUGUGGGGUAGGAUGUCGGUAGGGGGCACACGCCAACACGCGUGAUAGGCUUUGCAGUAGCCCCACCACACCACACUGCAUACCCUCACAUGCACACCGCUCUACGGUGCCCUUUUGCUGCCCUCUGUUCACCCUGCGCCCGCUUUCGCAAACGCGCACGCGUGCGCGCACACAGGCGUGGACGGGCGCUCCUCCUGUGGGCCGCCUGGUCGCCUACAUCGCGGCGGUGGCGGGCGUGCUGUUCGUGAUGCGCUCCAAGCUGCCCAGGGCGCUGCUGCAGCCCACCUCGCCCGGCGGCAGCUGGCUGCAGCAGCUGGGCGGCGGCCGCGGCGACAACCCCCUCCACGACGGCGGCGCAAACACCAGCAGCAGCACCGGCACCGGCAGCAGCAGCGUGAUGGGGUUGGUGGAAGCGCCGGGCACCUUCGCCUCUCUGGGCGGCAGCGCGCGCACGGCGCAGAGUCGGCUGGCGGGCAUGGACCGCGACGGCGGGCUGGGCGACACGCGGCUGCCGUCCGAGGUGCUGGCCUCGGGCGACCCCUACGCGGCACGCAAGGUGCUGUUCGACACCACAGCCUCAUCCGUGCCCUCCGGCGGAGGCAGCAGCAUCGCCGGCGGCCAGGCGGCGUCCGUGGCGGCGGCGGGGCGGCAGCGCAGCGCGGCGGCGGCGGUGGCCACGCCGGCGUUGCCAGGCGGCGGCAAUGGUGCCGGCCAGUACUCGAGCGGCAGCAUCCCCAGCCUGCCCAAGCCGCCCCCCGGCGGCUGGAACAGCAACUACAGCGACCGCGCGGACUGGUGGACCGCCGGCCAGACGGCACAGCAGCAGCAGCCGCCAGCAGCUGCGGCGCCGCCGCCACCACCGCCGCAGCCCCGCACUGUGGCGGAGUCCUGGGAGGCCUUCCGCCGCAGCACCGGCGGCCUCGGCGCUAGCGCCGAGCCCGCCUCCUCGGCCUCGUACUCCGCCGCCGCCAACCCCUCCGGCGGCGUGCUGGACGCCACCGCCGCGCUGGCGGCGGCCGCGGUCGCCGCCGCCGUGGGCAACAGCACCGGCGCCCCCGGCGGCGGCCGCGGCGGCCCCGGCGACCCCAAGCUGGCGGAGUUCAGUCGCGCCACUGAGGAGAAGCGCAUCGGCCGCGACCGGGCGCGGGUGCGCGCCACCAUCAAGGACCGGCUGCGCUGGCUGGUGCGCGCGCUGGGCCCCGUCACCAGCGUGGUGCCGGGCGGCGAGCCGCUGCGCGAGGAGGUGGACGGCCUGCUGUCGCAGCUGGAGGCGCUGUCGCCCACCGACAAGCCGCUCAACACCAGCGUGGACGCAGCCGCUGCCGGCUACGGCGGCGCCGCCUACGGCGGCGGUAGCGCUGGUGGUUAUGGUGCGGGUGGGUACGGGUACGGGGCCGUGCGGGCGCCUGCGGCGUCCGUGGACCCCGACCUGCUGGGCGAGUGGCGGCUGGUGUACGCCUCCAACGCCGGCUCGGCAGCGGGCGCGCCGUCGGCCGCCUCGCAGGCGGCCAGCGGCGGUCCCAACCUGCUGGCGCAGGUGCUGCAGCUGGCCGACUCGCUGCCGGGCUUCGGCAUGACGCACGUGCUGCAGCGCCUGUCGCUGGAGGAGACAGCAGCAGGCGGCGCCGCGCCCGCCUACGCCGCCUCCAGCGCCGCGUACGGCGCCGCUGGCGCGGCUGCGCCGCACUCGGCGGCGGUGGUGGUGACGGAGAACAGCGCGGUAUUCCGGUUCGGGCCGCUGGGCUCGUGGCGCGUGACGGUGAAGGGGCGCUGGAUGGACAACGGCGGCGGCAUGUGCGCGGCGGCGGAGUUCGAGUCGUUCGGCGUGCGGCCGGUGGACCUGUGGGGGCUGUCGGUGGAGGCGCUGCUGCCCGAGGUGACGGUGCCGGUGCCUGAGGUCCUGCGCAGCCGCAGCGAGUGGUGCACCACCUACCUGGAUGAGGACAUGCGGGUGGGGCGCGGCAGCGGCGGCGCGCUGUUCCUGUUCCGGCGCGGCGGCGCGGACGACGUCACCGAGGCGGCGGGCGCCAUGGGCGGCAGCCUGGGUGCGGGCUCCGGCAUGGGCAUGGGCUUGGGCGUGGGCUUGGGCGCGGUGGCUGCGGAUGCCCGCGCGCCGGUGAUGCGGCCGCUGUGAGGCGCGUGGGAGGAGGGGCGGGUGGCAGGAGGGAAGUGGAGCCUGGCGGCCGGCGCCGCGGGUGUGUAGCGGUGUGCCCGUGUGUGUGCGGGUGCGUGUACGUGUACGUGUACGUGUACGUGUACGUGUACGUGUACGUGUACGUGUACGUGUGUGUGUGUGUGUGUGUGUGUGUGUGUGUGUGUGUACAUGUGUGUGUGUGUGUACAUGUGUGUGUACAUGUGUGUGUACAUGUGUGUGUACAUGUGUGUGUACAUGUGUGUGUACAUGUGUGUGUACAUGUGUGUGUACAUGUGUGUACCUGUGUGUACAUGUGUGUACAUGUGUGUGUGUGUGUUGAGGUGGGCAUGGUGUGGCUGUGUGGGCGAGGAGGAGCACAGCGCUUCCAUCCGGCACUUGUGAGACAUGUCACAAUUUAUCAUCAUUUUAUCGCGGCAGGCAGUCCUAUGCAUGAGCAAUUCAUGGCGGUGCGCAUGGCGUGGAAUGGAGUGAAUUGAUGUUGUCAGGGGGCUGGUUGCAAUGGCCGAUACCGGUACCUGUGGUCCUGUGCGUCUCUGCGUGUCCUGUACAGUGUAUUCCCCCAAAUGGAUAGGGAGGGCAUGGUUGCAGGCCUGGCCAGAUCAGGUGUCUGGGUUUUAUCCCUCGCCUGCGUGUGCGUGCUUGUAUCUAACUGUACCACUUCAAUUAGGUCAAGGUUACCUGGCCCCUGUAGAGACGUGGAGGCUCAGACAAUAAGACAAUUGGUCUUAGCUCAAUGCAAACAGUGCAAAGAUUGAUUACAUUUGCUGAGUCUGCUUGUGGACAGAGAGAUGUGCGGUGUGAGGACUGUCGGCAGGAGCAUUGAUAGUAUGACAGUGGAGCGUGAAGAGGGAGAGGGACGGAGGGAGGCUGCGUGGUGCUGGCAGAGGGACGGAGGACGAGGUGGGCACCAUGCGGCCUUUGCAAUGCAUUCAAAGCUUCGCCCAAAGCCUUAACUUAUCAGGAUACCGUAUUGCUUGAAGCAGGAGUGCCGUCGCUGGUCACGCAACUUAAGAGAACUGCAGGGAAACAAGCAUCGAACCGGGGGUCGUGAUGGAGGCAUAGAUUUUGCUCUUGCGGCUCCUCGGGCGCCUGGUACACAGGGACACUUUAUCAGUGCACGAUAGCUAUAAGACGAAACAAUAUGGUGGUUUGCCUCGGUGCAGAGAACAGCAGUGCUGACAACUGAGCGCUCCCAAUUGUUGCCUUCUCUCCUACUGGAACUAUGACCGAGCCAAGCACCAGUGGCAAGCGCCAUAGAGAGGAUGAAGGUGUUGGAAACCUCGGCUGGCUGGCGAGCAGCGGUAUGCUGCCUCGCAAGCGGCAAGACAUUUCGGGAGUCGGCAAUGCGAGCAUUAUGGAGCUACAAGCACAACUUUAUCGCACGCAAGAAAAUGUGAAAUUGAAAGCAAGUGGCGUCGAGGUCCCCGACCGGCGAACUUCGGGGUUCAACGUCGCAUCGCUUAUGCAGCGACGAAACACGGGCGUGGAAGAGCGCGAUCGACGGGACAAGCUUGAAGUCAAGGUGAGGCGGGGUCUGGGAGUCCGCAAAUGCGACGUAGGGGCGGUGCUACGCUUGACGCGGACACUGGCCUCAGCAGUUCUGGACGACGCCCCGCGCGGUUUCCCCUCCACGCCCCUCCCGCACAGACCACCGCUGACCGCGUCGGGGAGUGUUACGCCGCGCUAGAGCGCAAGGCGCAACUAUACGAGAAACUAGGUAGGCGCUGCGACUGCUGCAGCCGUGCGCCGUGAACAAUGCCACACGGCACCACUGCCAUCCCUACCCCGCCAUUCCACCACGGCCACGUUGCACACCCCUCGCCGUCGAUGUAUGCGGACUCGCACAGGCUGUCCAGCUCGCCAUCUUCCACACGGCUACCAUAUGCCUGUACAAACUCCCUCGACCCUUUGCCAGCCCUAUCUACCCAUUGAUCGCUGUGCUUCUGCUCGACCGCUGUUCCGCUGCUGUUGCUGCUGCUGCUGCUACUGCUGCUGCUGCCGCAGCUCGCGGCGAGUUGGACGACGAGGGCGAGCAGUACGAGGUGGACUUCCUGCGCAAGGGCGGGGCGGCGGAGGAGGAGGCGGGUGGAGGCGAGGGCCGGCGCGGCGGCGACCUGGUGGACACCAUGCUGCAGGCAGUGUCGGGGACAGGUGAGGCGGGGGCGGAUGGGGGCAAGGAGUCCACGGGCCUUGUAGUCGGACUGCCCGAGCCGCCACCCUGACGGAGAGGGUCAACAAGUGUGUGCUGCGGCUGACCUGUCGGCAGAGCGUGUUGCUGCUGUUCGGCGCUCGGCCCGCGGGAUCUCACCACCCUCAGCCCCCGCCGCUGCUCGGCUGCAACCAUUGAGGCAGGACAGCAAGGGUUUAGGCAGGGUAGUAUGGACUGAGGCAGGGUAAUGCGGACUGGGCAAGGCAACCACCCGACACAUAGCGUGUCCCGGUCUAUUGUAUUCUUCUCUUGUGCGGAGACCGCACGUCUGAACCGCUCCUACUCCGCGCUGCACUUGCGCUCCUGACCACCUCCUGGCCACCUGUCGGCAUGCGGCCCCGCACACAGGCGGCAUGAUGACUGCGGACAUGGCGCGGGAACGGGAGCGGCGCGACUGGGAGCGGGACCAGCAGCGCAUCAUGGCGGACGAGGAGGCGGAGGAGCGGAGGCGGAAGCAGAAAGAGGUGCGUCCAACACAAGCGGAGGUCGGGGACCAAUGGCACCAUUGUUGUAUGCUGUUUAACCCGGGUUACCCUAUGCCGGCGAUGCUGCCUGUGAGCAGUUGAUAAGCAGUGCCUAACCUGCGGUGGCACGUCGUCGCAUGCGGUUUGCACAGGCGCUGCUUUGGCUUGUGGGGGCUGUCGGUGGAGGCGCUGCUGCCCGAGGUGACGGUGCCGGUGCCUGAGGUCCUGCGCAGCCGCAGCGAGUGGUGCACCACCUACCUGGAUGAGGACAUGCGGGUGGGGCGCGGCAGCGGCGGCGCGCUGUUCCUGUUCCGGCGCGGCGGCGCGGACGACGUCACCGAGGCGGCGGGCGCCAUGGGCGGCAGCCUGGGUGCGGGCUCCGGCAUGGGCAUGGGCUUGGGCGUGGGCUUGGGCGCGGUGGCUGCGGAUGCCCGCGCGCCGGUGAUGCGGCCGCUGUGAGGCGCGUGGGAGGAGGGGCGGGUGGCAGGAGGGAAGUGGAGCCUGGCGGCCGGCGCCGCGGGUGUGUAGCGGUGUGCCCGUGUGUGUGCGGGUGCGUGUACGUGUACGUGUACGUGUACGUGUACGUGUACGUGUACGUGUACGUGUACGUGUACGUGUGUGUGUGUGUGUGUGUGUGUGUGUACAUGUGUGUGUGUCUACAUGUGUGUGUACAUGUGUGUGUACAUGUGUGUGUACAUGUGUGUACCUGUGUGUACAUGUGUGUACAUGUGUGUGUGUGUGUUGAGGUGGGCAUGGUGUGGCUGUGUGGGCGAGGAGGAGCACAGCGCUUCCAUCCGGCACUUGUGAGACAUGUCACAAUUUAUCAUCAUUUUAUCGCGGCAGGCAGUCCUAUGCAUGAGCAAUUCAUGGCGGUGCGCAUGGCGUGGAAUGGAGUGAAUUGAUGUUGUCAGGGGGCUGGUUGCAAUGGCCGAUACCGGUACCUGUGGUCCUGUGCGUCUCUGCGUGUCCUGUACAGUGUAUUCCCCCAAAUGGAUAGGGAGGGCAUGGUUGCAGGCCUGGCCAGAUCAGGUGUCUGGGUUUUAUCCCUCGCCUGCGUGUGCGUGCUUGUAUCUAACUGUACCACUUNNNNNNNNNNNNNNNNNNNNNNNNNNNNNNNNNNNNNNNNNNNNNNNNNNNNNNNNNNNNNNNNNNNNNNNNNNNNNNNNNNNNNNNNNNNNNNNNNNNNACGCGGACACUGGCCUCAGCAGUUCUGGACGACGCCCCGCGCGGUUUCCCCUCCACGCCCCUCCCGCACAGACCACCGCUGACCGCGUCGGGGAGUGUUACGCCGCGCUAGAGCGCAAGGCGCAACUAUACGAGAAACUAGGUAGGCGCUGCGACUGCUGCAGCCGUGCGCCGUGAACAAUGCCACACGGCACCACUGCCAUCCCUACCCCGCCAUUCCACCACGGCCACGUUGCACACCCCUCGCCGUCGAUGUAUGCGGACUCGCACAGGCUGUCCAGCUCGCCAUCUUCCACACGGCUACCAUAUGCCUGUACAAACUCCCUCGACCCUUUGCCAGCCCUAUCUACCCAUUGAUCGCUGUGCUUCUGCUCGACCGCUGUUCCGCUGCUGUUGCUGCUGCUGCUGCUACUGCUGCUGCUGCCGCAGCUCGCGGCGAGUUGGACGACGAGGGCGAGCAGUACGAGGUGGACUUCCUGCGCAAGGGCGGGGCGGCGGAGGAGGAGGCGGGUGGAGGCGAGGGCCGGCGCGGCGGCGACCUGGUGGACACCAUGCUGCAGGCAGUGUCGGGGACAGGUGAGGCGGGGGCGGAUGGGGGCAAGGAGUCCACGGGCCUUGUAGUCGGACUGCCCGAGCCGCCACCCUGACGGAGAGGGUCAACAAGUGUGUGCUGCGGCUGACCUGUCGGCAGAGCGUGUUGCUGCUGUUCGGCGCUCGGCCCGCUGGAUCUCACCACCCUCAGCCCCCGCCGCUGCUCGGCUGCAACCAUUGAGGCAGGACAGCAAGGGUUUAGGCAGGGUAGUAUGGACUGAGGCAGGGUAAUGCGGACUGGGCAAGGCAACCACCCGACACAUAGCGUGUCCCGGUCUAUUGUAUUCUUCUCUUGUGCGGAGACCGCACGUCUGAACCGCUCCUACUCCGCGCUGCACUUGCGCUCCUGACCACCUCCUGGCCACCUGUCGGCAUGCGGCCCCGCACACAGGCGGCAUGAUGACUGCGGACAUGGCGCGGGAACGGGAGCGGCGCGACUGGGAGCGGGACCAGCAGCGCAUCAUGGCGGACGAGGAGGCGGAGGAGCGGAGGCGGAAGCAGAAAGAGGUGCGUCCAACACAAGCGGAGGUCGGGGACCAAUGGCACCAUUGUUGUAUGCUGUUUAACCCGGGUUACCCUAUGCCGGCGAUGCUGCCUGUGAGCAGUUGAUAAGCAGUGCCUAACCUGCGGUGGCACGUCGUCGCAUGCGGUUUGCACAGGCGCUGCUUUGGCUUGUGGGGGCUGUCGGUGGAGGCGCUGCUGCCCGAGGUGACGGUGCCGGUGCCUGAGGUCCUGCGCAGCCGCAGCGAGUGGUGCACCACCUACCUGGAUGAGGACAUGCGGGUGGGGCGCGGCAGCGGCGGCGCGCUGUUCCUGUUCCGGCGCGGCGGCGCGGACGACGUCACCGAGGCGGCGGGCGCCAUGGGCGGCAGCCUGGGUGCGGGCUCCGGCAUGGGCAUGGGCUUGGGCGUGGGCUUGGGCGCGGUGGCUGCGGAUGCCCGCGCGCCGGUGAUGCGGCCGCUGUGAGGCGCGUGGGAGGAGGGGCGGGUGGCAGGAGGGAAGUGGAGCCUGGCGGCCGGCGCCGCGGGUGUGUAGCGGUGUGCCCGUGUGUGUGCGGGUGCGUGUACGUGUACGUGUACGUGUACGUGUACGUGUACGUGUACGUGUACGUGUACGUGUACGUGUACGUGUACGUGUACGUGUACGUGUGUGUGUGUGUGUGUGUGUGUGUGUGUGUGUGUGUACAUGUGUGUGUGUACAUGUGUGUGUACAUGUGUGUGUACAUGUGUGUGUACAUGUGUGUACCUGUGUGUACAUGUGUGUACAUGUGUGUGUGUGUGUGUGUGUUGAGGUGGGCAUGGUGUGGCUGUGUGGGCGAGGAGGAGCACAGCGCUUCCAUCCGGCACUUGUGAGACAUGUCACAAUUUAUCAUCAUUUUAUCGCGGCAGGCAGUCCUAUGCAUGAGCAAUUCAUGGCGGUGCGCAUGGCGUGGAAUGGAGUGAAUUGAUGUUGUCAGGGGGCUGGUUGCAAUGGCCGAUACCGGUACCUGUGGUCCUGUGCGUCUCUGCGUGUCCUGUACAGUGUAUUCCCCCAAAUGGAUAGGGAGGGCAUGGUUGCAGGCCUGGCCAGAUCAGGUGUCUGGGUUUUAUCCCUCGCCUGCGUGUGCGUGCUUGUAUCUAACUGUACCACUUCAAUUAGGUCAAGGUUACCUGGCCCCUGUAGAGACGUGGAGGCUCAGACAAUAAGACAAUUGGUCUUAGCUCAAUGCAAACAGUGCAAAGAUUGAUUACAUUUGCUGAGUCUGCUUGUGGACAGAGAGAUGUGCGGUGUGAGGACUGUCGGCAGGAGCAUUGAUAGUAUGACAGUGGAGCGUGAAGAGGGAGAGGGACGGAGGGAGGCUGCGUGGUGCUGGCAGAGGGACGGAGGACGAGGUGGGCACCAUGCGGCCUUUGCAAUGCAUUCAAAGCUUCGCCCAAAGCCUUAACUUAUCAGGAUACCGUAUUGCUUGAAGCAGGAGUGCCGUCGCUGGUCACGCAACUUAAGAGAACUGCAGGGAAACAAGCAUCGAACCGGGGGUCGUGAUGGAGGCAUAGAUUUUGCUCUUGCGGCUCCUCGGGCGCCUGGUACACAGGGACACUUUAUCAGUGCACGAUAGCUAUAAGACGAAACAAUAUGGUGGUUUGCCUCGGUGCAGAGAACAGCAGUGCUGACAACUGAGCGCUCCCAAUUGUUGCCUUCUCUCCUACUGGAACUAUGACCGAGCCAAGCACCAGUGGCAAGCGCCAUAGAGAGGAUGAAGGUGUUGGAAACCUCGGCUGGCUGGCGAGCAGCGGUAUGCUGCCUCGCAAGCGGCAAGACAUUUCGGGAGUCGGCAAUGCGAGCAUUAUGGAGCUACAAGCACAACUUUAUCGCACGCAAGAAAAUGUGAAAUUGAAAGCAAGUGGCGUCGAGGUCCCCGACCGGCGAACUUCGGGGUUCAACGUCGCAUCGCUUAUGCAGCGACGAAACACGGGCGUGGAAGAGCGCGAUCGACGGGACAAGCUUGAAGUCAAGGUGAGGCGGGGUCUGGGAGUCCGCAAAUGCGACGUAGGGGCGGUGCUACGCUUGACGCGGACACUGGCCUCAGCAGUUCUGGACGACGCCCCGCGCGGUUUCCCCUCCACGCCCCUCCCGCACAGACCACCGCUGACCGCGUCGGGGAGUGUUACGCCGCGCUAGAGCGCAAGGCGCAACUAUACGAGAAACUAGGUAGGCGCUGCGACUGCUGCAGCCGUGCGCCGUGAACAAUGCCACACGGCACCACUGCCAUCCCUACCCCGCCAUUCCACCACGGCCACGUUGCACACCCCUCGCCGUCGAUGUAUGCGGACUCGCACAGGCUGUCCAGCUCGCCAUCUUCCACACGGCUACCAUAUGCCUGUACAAACUCCCUCGACCCUUUGCCAGCCCUAUCUACCCAUUGAUCGCUGUGCUUCUGCUCGACCGCUGUUCCGCUGCUGUUGCUGCUGCUGCUGCUACUGCUGCUGCUGCCGCAGCUCGCGGCGAGUUGGACGACGAGGGCGAGCAGUACGAGGUGGACUUCCUGCGCAAGGGCGGGGCGGCGGAGGAGGAGGCGGGUGGAGGCGAGGGCCGGCGCGGCGGCGACCUGGUGGACACCAUGCUGCAGGCAGUGUCGGGGACAGGUGAGGCGGGGGCGGAUGGGGGCAAGGAGUCCACGGGCCUUGUAGUCGGACUGCCCGAGCCGCCACCCUGACGGAGAGGGUCAACAAGUGUGUGCUGCGGCUGACCUGUCGGCAGAGCGUGUUGCUGCUGUUCGGCGCUCGGCCCGCGGGAUCUCACCACCCUCAGCCCCCGCCGCUGCUCGGCUGCAACCAUUGAGGCAGGACAGCAAGGGUUUAGGCAGGGUAGUAUGGACUGAGGCAGGGUAAUGCGGACUGGGCAAGGCAACCACCCGACACAUAGCGUGUCCCGGUCUAUUGUAUUCUUCUCUUGUGCGGAGACCGCACGUCUGAACCGCUCCUACUCCGCGCUGCACUUGCGCUCCUGACCACCUCCUGGCCACCUGUCGGCAUGCGGCCCCGCACACAGGCGGCAUGAUGACUGCGGACAUGGCGCGGGAACGGGAGCGGCGCGACUGGGAGCGGGACCAGCAGCGCAUCAUGGCGGACGAGGAGGCGGAGGAGCGGAGGCGGAAGCAGAAAGAGGUGCGUCCAACACAAGCGGAGGUCGGGGACCAAUGGCACCAUUGUUGUAUGCUGUUUAACCCGGGUUACCCUAUGCCGGCGAUGCUGCCUGUGAGCAGUUGAUAAGCAGUGCCUAACCUGCGGUGGCACGUCGUCGCAUGCGGUUUGCACAGGCGCUGCUUUGGCUGGGCGAGCAAACGCGCGAGGAGCGGCAGCGCGCCGAAGCGGUCAAGGUGCGCAAGGAGGAGGCGGUGCGCUCCAAGCGCGAGGAGCUCAAAGCCAAGUUCCUCCGGGAUCAGGUGGCCAAGAAGCUGGCGGGCGCAGGCGCGAAGGCGGUCGGCGGAAAGAAGUCAUGAGGAGGCGGGUGGAGGGGCGUGUGGUGCGGCGCUGCUGUAAGACGGUGACGGGAGACCUGGCCAUGGCGGCAGCGGAGGAGCACGCCAGCGAGGUUUUCCGCGUAAUGGUUGCAGUAGACGAGCUGUGCAUCAUGUACGCUUGCGGCUGCCUUUGACCUGCCUGCUCUGAAGCUCAGGGGCAGGUCUCGGUCUCUGGUGCCGGACAGGAGGCGCCGUGCCGGCAUGCCGGGUGUGCACCUGGCGGUGGGUCUACUUCACUCUUCCCUCAUACCUGCACGCCUCCAAUUUUACCAGUGUGUACACGAGUAUGUGAAAAGGAGAGCCCAAAGGCUGGGUAAUCACUGGGGACCGAUGUCACCAUCGCGGGCGGGAGUGCAAAUUCUCAGAGCCCGCAGUCUCUCUUAUUUUAGCCGCCCUGAGAGCCAGGGCAACCAUACCGUUUAGCCUGCACUAGGCGGGGCAACAAGGAUGCGGUCGCUGAAGCAAAUCCUGCGCAUCGGCGAGGCUAGCUCGCUCGGUCUGCGCGCGUUCGGCAGCGCUGCCAAGGAUGUAGUGGCUACUGAUGCCAACCCUUUCCUGCGCUUCAGCAACCCCCGCCCCAGCCCCAUCGACCACACGCCCCUGCUGAGCACGCUUCCGGAGACCCGGGUGGGUGCAGCGCGGAGCAGCCGGAGUUGCAGCCUAAGCAUUUGAGAGUAUGCAUGCUGUGCAUGGAAACAAAGGCCGGCGAGAUGGAGCUUACCCCUCGUUGGUGAUGUGUCUUCACUGAUGGCAGAUAACCACGCUGCCCAACGGCCUGCGCGUGGCCACCGAGGCUAUCCCGUUUGCGGAGACCACCACGCUCGGCAUCUGGAUCAACAGCGGCAGCCGCUUUGAGACUGAUGCCAACAAUGGCGUCGCUCACUUCUUGGAGCACAUUCUCUUCAAGGGCACCAAGGCAGGUUGGGGCAGGGCUCUGAAUUUGCAGUUUUCAGCGCAGCAUGCCAACAUGCUACGUCAUUACGCCUGCAGAACCGCUCGGUGAAGGAGCUGGAGGUCGAGGUGGAGAACAUGGGCGGCCAGCUGAAUGCCUACACGGGCCGUGAGCAGACCUGCUACUAUGCUAAGGUCAUGGGCAAGGACGUGGGCAAGGCGGUCAACAUCCUGUCCGAUAUCCUGCUGAACUCCAACCUGGAUGCCCGCGCCAUCGACAAGGAGCGCGACGUGAUUCUGCGCGAGAUGGAGGAGGUGCGUGUUACACAGGGUCUUGAAGAGAGGCGUAUCACGGGGUGGGAAGCGGCCGUGCGGGCAGGUACGGGGGACGGGAGCGGAGAGAGCGGGGCGGGGUGGGGUGGGGCAACAGCCCUGUUGCCGCAGCCCGCCCCUCAUGGCCUGCCCCAGCGCCCAGACCCGCCCAUGCAGCCAGCGCGUCUGCACGCGCAUGGGGCAGGCGAGUGCCACCUGACGCCGCCCUCCCUGCAAACCUCUUGCAGGUCAACAAGCAGACCUCGGAGCUGGUGUUCGACCACCUGCACGCCACCGCGUUCCAGUACAGCCCGCUGGGCCGCACCAUCCUGGGCCCCGUGGAGAACAUCAAGUCCAUCAACCGCGACCAGCUGGUUGAGUACAUGAAGACCCACUACCGCGGCCCCCGCAUGGUGCGUGGAUGGAGGCCUGCAUGUGGCUGACGCAUGCGGCAGCAGCAGGAUGAGCCUUGCAGCAGCGCAGCGGAGCGGAGCCGGACGCACGGAGGCGUGAGGCAGCAGCGCAGCGGCAUGGGCGAACGCAGCAGCAGGAGGCAGCUGGAGGGAGGGGCACCAGCGAGGGGGCCAGUCGAAAGAGGGCGGGAUGGUGACGGCUGCAGGCCGACACCACGGUGCAGGCGCAGGCAGGGGAGGGAGGCUUCAUGCAACGAUGGUGAAAUGCAGCAAGACCAGGCCGGUCCAUCUGGCAGCGGCAGCAAGCACCGUCUGAAUCAGCCGACGGGAGCAUGAAAGCCGGGGAGGGGAGGGGCGCGCCAGGACGGAUCUGUACCGUCAUGCGCAGGAAGGGACAUAACGGGACAUGUAUGUUUGCCGCGGUGCAGGUGCUGGCCGCUGCCGGUGCCGUCAACCACGACGAGCUGGUGAAGCUGGCGUCGGAUGCGUUCGGCUCGGUGCCGGAUGAGGACGCCGCCACCUCGGUCCGCUCGCUGCUGGUCAAGGUGAGUCGGACCAGCGUGGAGGAAUGGGGCCAGAAGGAGCACGAUAAUUGGGCAAGAGCACAGGGUACCGCAAUCAGGAAAGCUCUUGUGAGGUUGGGUGAGGCACCACAAAACGUCUUGGGGCGCUUGGAGGCCACGUCAGUGGGGCGUAGGCUGUCUACUAAGCAAGUCUUCAUGCAUUGUGUCCUGGCCAUGCGCGCCGCCCCGCAGGAGCCCUCGCGCUUCACCGGCUCGUACGUGCACGACCGCUUCCCUGACGCCUCGGAGUGCUGCAUGGCCGUGGCGUUCAAGGGUGCCUCAUGGACCGACCCCGACUCCAUCCCCCUGAUGGUCAUGCAGACCAUGCUGGGUGGGUGCAGCGGCGCGAGGCGGGAAGGGGCCACGGCUGCAGCGGGGGGGGGGCAUACAAGGGCAUAGAGAGGGCAGAGACCUCGCCGAACCAAGAGCGUGGAAACAACCGGACAUUGUUAAAUAGGAUGUCUCAGCUCUUCUUGACAAAUGACGCUCCUGUAUGUGGGUUAACGCAGGCGGCUGGGACAAGAACUCGACCGUGGGCAAGCACAGCAGCAGCGCGCUGGUGCAGACCGUGGCCACGGAGGGCCUGGCGGACGCCUUCAUGGCCUUCAACACCAAUUACCACGACACCGGCCUGUUCGGCGUGUACGGCGUCACCGACCGCGACCGCUCCGAGGACUUCGCCUACGCCAUCAUGUCCAACCUGACGCGCAUGUGCUUCGAGGUCCGCGACGCCGACGUGGCGCGCGCCAAGAACCAGCUCAAAGCCAGCCUGAUGUUCUUCCAGGACUCCACGCACCGUGAGUAGCGAACCGGGGCUACAGCGAGCCAGGGCUGGGUGUGUAACAUGGCCUGUUUUUGUUGCCUGGCUCUCUCCACUGCUCGGAGCCCUACGCUCUGUCGUGGCAAUUCGGACCUCACGGUUGCUGUCGGCAUUGCCUUGUUUCCUCGCGCAGACGUGGCCGAGUCCAUCGGCCGCGAGCUGCUGGUGUACGGUCGCCGCAUCCCCAAGGCGGAGAUGUUCGCACGCAUCGACGCCGUGGACGCCAACGCCAUCCGCGCCGUGGCCGACCGCUUCAUCUACGACCAGGACAUGGCCGUGGCCUCCGCCGGCGACGUGCAGUUCGUGCCCGACUACAACUGGUUCCGCCGCCGGUCCUACUGGCUGCGCUACUAAGCAAAUCGCACCAGCAGGUGGUGUCGCUGAGCUGCCGAGACUGCUAUCCAGACUCUGGCCAGUGCCUGAGGUUGGCGGCAGCGGCGUGAGGCGGAGCGUGGGGCCGCCACUGGAGCAGUGGCAGCGGUGCCGGCCGCCUGGCGCGUGGAGCUGCAGUGCGUAGUAGAGUGUGGAACCCGGAGUGCGAGCUGCAGCAGCGGGAGCUGGCUAGAGGUCGCUCGUCGGGAGGUACGGGGGUGCAGAGCUUAUCCUGGACAUGCUGAGGAGGAGCGUGUGGCGGCUGAAGGCGAGGGCGCUGUCAUGCGCGCGGGGAGAGUGGAGGACAGUUGAGCAAUGGCCUCUGUAUGCCAGUUGCUGGUCUGCUCCGACCUGAGUAUAGAUUGAGAGGGCAGAGCGAAGCCUGGAAUGGCGUUAGGGCCAUGCAGCAGAGGGGAUGCGGAAGGCGCCUAGGGCAGCAGGUCGAUGGCGGAGCAUCCCGGAGCUCGAGCCCUGUAGGUGGAAGGGCAGAUUUACGGUAGGUGAUAAACUCGCGUAGGCAGUGAGCUUAACAACUUCAUGACUGACGGUAUCAUAGGUAGGGAGGUGCAAGAUGCAAGCGGCGAAGAUGCCGUUGUUGAUGGGUGUGGUACGGCGUGUAAGUGCGCCGCGUGGAUGCCUGGACCCCCCCCCCUCCGUUGAAGAGUCAUAAAACUUCAGUCUAAAAGUUUAUCUGCUAAACUCAAAUAAUCCUUGCAUUGCAGUGAUAGAAACCACGUGUAGUAGUCUGGCCAAGACAGCAACCAAGGCGACGGCGGGAAACCAUCGGGCAUGCGACGAUAGUUUGAGCGAGUUUGGGCAAUGCCAGGACGCGGCCAGCGCCAUGAGCUAGGUGGAGUACCUGUUAUUGUGGUGGAGAACGUUCAGGUGCGUUUGGAAGCCUGGGUCAACCUAUUCACGGAAUUGCGGCAGGCGACGGGAGCAAAGCCGACUCCUUUUGCGAGCUUGCUGAGCCUGAGACGUAUCUGUUGCAGGAUUAUCGAGACUGUGUGCCAUACUAUGUGAAUAAGGACGAUGUGUGCCUGGAGCUUGGGUGCGCUCAAGGGUGCACGACGGCGGUGCUAGCCGAGCACGCUAAGGAGGUGGGCACCGACUUGAGCUGCACGGCGCGGGACGACAGGGCCGGGACCAUCAGUCCAAAACUGAUGUUGUGCCAUGGAGAAGCGGGAAAAGGGCGGGGGCUGCCAGGGGGGAAAGCAGGGCGGGCGGCGGGCACUGGCGGGCAUCCGGGGCAGCGGGGGCAGCCACCUCCACUCCCCUCAUGCCCCCAGGUCGUGGGCGUGGACAAGUCCGCCUUCAACUUCAAGGUGGCUGAGGGCCGCUACAAGCACAUAGAGUUCCAUGAGAUUGCGGCCGAGGACAUCUCAGGUGGGCGCCAAGGGGACGGCGGCGGGCCUGAUGUGAAUGGGCCUUGUGUCCGAAGGGAGGCGUUUGUGGACGCGGGGGCACUCACCUCCCGACUACAGUCCCAAAGCAACUGGGGGUCUUGCACUCUUGCGCGUGGCCCCUGUGCAAAUAUUUGGCACUGGGCGCGUGGCACACACGUGCGUUGUUGGUUUUUGGUCCUUCCUUUCCCUCUGCAGCGCUGCUGCGGCUGGGCAAGCGCUUCACAAAGGUCUUCCUGGACAUCAGCGGCUCCCAGCCCGUGGGUGAGAGUGGUGGGCAGGCAAAGGUGGCAUACCGGUAUGGGUGAUGGGGUCACAUCGGGAGGAGGGCGGUUGACGAAUGUUUGGCAACCCAUUGUGCCUGCGCGCGGAUAUCACCAGGCACGGGCACGUCCAGGGGAAGGUAAGAGAAGGGAUGUGGUACAGCCCCGCGCAACCGUGCAUCAAUCGUGGGAACGGCGCACCAAUGGCAUCGGCUUUUGCCACCACGUCAAGACAUCUCCUACCUCGCCCUUUACCACCCGCCACAGGCCCACUGGCUGCGCUGAUAGAGAAGUACGAGCGCGCCUUCCCCGACGUGACGCUGUUCGUGGUGAAGGCGUACCGGCUCAAGAAGCUGGUGGGGCUGAGCACGGUAUUCCCGGAGGAGGUGCUGGGCACCACACGCAACCCCAGCACCGCAUUCAUGAUCAAGGCGGCGGCGGGGGCAGGCGGCGAAGGCGGGGGCGGCGUGAGCGGGGGCGUGAAUGGUGUGAACGGUGUGCACGGGGGCUUGGGAGCAGGGAGGAACGGGAGGAGCAGCGCUGGUGGGAGACGACGCAGCGGGCUGGGCGGUUUGCUGCGGCGGCAUGGGGGUGGCAUGGCGGUGGCGCUGGCGGCGUUUGGGGCGGGGCUGGUGGUGGGGCGGGCCAGCUCGCGGCGGUAGGUUACAGAAGCCGGAGCGGGCUCCGUGUGUCUGUCGACGUAACGUCAUGACUCCGUACCGCACAACUUAGGGCUAGCUAUGCAGCUAUGUGCGGUGGGAUGUGUCUUAUUCCAAUGACCCGCAGCAUGACAACAACAUUCUCUCAUUCGUUAAAGAUUCCACCAGGCACAUGCGCCCUGAUGGCGCCGCGCAACUCGCGUUACCCGCUGUAACUGUCCGUGCCGCCGCUUCACCCUCUCUCCUUUCGAGUCCUUUCCAUCAAUCCAUGCCAAGCCAGCUUCAUUGCAUCCUAUAGAGUCGUGCCACCAGUCCCGUAGCUGCAGCAGUCCGAUCAAUCCAUGCGCCGAGUCCAAUCAUACGCCUCGGCUGCUAGCACCUAAUCCUCUCGCGUGGCCCAGCCGCCUGAAGAAUGAACCCUACCACCGCGUCGCGUCGCAUUGCGGCCAGGCCCGCCUCCCCUGCGCAAAAACAUCCAUGAACGCUGCAAGUCCUGUGAACACAAAAAGCGCUGAGCAGCGCAGCGCUGGCGCCCAGCAGCUCCCUUCCUCUGCAGCCCCUCCGCUCCGCCCCUCCGCCUCAGCCCUGGCUCCAGCAGUAGCUGCCGCCCCGCGGCACAUGCACAUGCACAAUCCCACACACAACGCAGGGGCAUUGUCCUAACACUGCCACCAAACCAAAAGCCGCUCUACAGCUCGAUCUCCUGCUGCAGCUUGAGGUAGGGGUUCUCGUUGUUGGGUCGGAAUUUGACGGCCGUCCACACGUAGAAGGCCAGCGUGACCAGCUCCUCCACCAUGGCCGCCACCCAGCUGUACUCGUACUGCAUGGUGCUGCGCAGCAGGUACACCACGAUGCGCGUGACGUAGAUGUACACCACCACCAUGACGUAGAACUGGCGGAACAGCGUCAGCUUCUCCAGGUUGCGCGCGGCCUUGCCGUCGGUCUGGCUGGCCUCGCGCAGGUGCUUGAUGGACCAGACGAUGGGGAACAGGAUGGCGCAGCAGCAGAUGAUGUCCACCAGGUGGAACACGUCGCGCCAGGUGAACCAGUCCUUGACGCUGGGGCUCUCCUCGUCCGUGAUCACGAUGGCGAUGUUGGCAAACACCUGUGGGGGCAGUACGGAGGCAGGGAGGCAGGCAGGCAGGCAGGGAGGUGACGGGACGGGAGGAGGCGGGGGAGGGACACAUGUCAAAUACGGUACUCCAGUCUCCCCGUUUUUCCACCGCCAGUAUCACCACCACCACCACCACCCUCCCUUCCCUCCCCCGCUGACCUGCAGCGGGAUGACGAUCAUGAUGAUGCGCGCCUCCUUCUCGCCCAGGAACGGCUUCAUGUAGCUCCAGCCCGUGCCGAUCAGCACAAUCACCGUGAAGAACAGCACGCCGCGGAAGAAGGUGAACACGUAGUAGGCGAUGUUCCAUCCGUCGGCGGAGCCGGUGCGCUCGAUGUAGAAGACCAUGAGGGCCUGGGAAAGCAGCGUGAGCGCCUUGAACACGCCCAGCCCGAACAUGAGGUAGUGGAUCUUGUGAACCAGGCUCUUGUUGCGGUAGCAGUAGACGACCCAGGCGACCGUGCACAGCGUGAACAGCGCAAACAUGGCCUGGGUGGAGAGGGACGGGGGGGAGGGGAACCAGGGAGGGGAGGGAGGGGCGAGAGGGGGGGACGGCGGUUGGAGAAGGUAGUAGUGGCAGUGCGGUUGUGAACGGCGCGGCAUGGGGGGCGAUGGGCGGGCAUCGUUUACACGACCGGCGCGGCCUAUGGGGCAAGAGCGAGAGGGGUGGUGCUUCCUGAUGGGAUGAGCCCAUGGCCGGUGGACGAGGUAUGUCCAGAGGGCUGCUGGGGUCGACACACCCUUCGCCAACGCAGCGCUGCAUAGAGCACUGGCCACUGCGUAACCGACCGGGUGGCGCCUUCCCAUGUCGCGCAUGUGCACAACAAGUGCUGUUUGGGCCCUGGACCCCCCCCCCCCCUGGCUCCUGCUCCAGCGCGCCGGCCACAGGUGUGGACCGCGAAGUAGGCCAAGCGCUUGCAUGCAGCUGCCUUCCAAACCGUCGCCACAAGACUCCGCGGUCGCACCAGAUAACGGUCAAACCGGCCACUGGUACGCAUAGCACCCCACGGACAGCGCUGACAACAGCGGUAGCUACCUCGUCAGCCUGCGUACAGCCCGCGGUUUGGAAACCCAAGGUGCCCUGACACGCACCCGCGCCAUCCCCCCACACUCACCCAGUAGACCGCGUCCAGGCUGGUGUCACCCACGGACAGGUAGUCUUUGCGUCCGUAGGUGUCCACGUUGUACAUCUCAAUCACGGAGCUAAAGGAGAUGGGGGUGUCCACCUCGCAGUUGGCGAAAUACAGGUAAAAGAGUCCGCCAUUCUGCACGACGAAGUGGAAGGUAAAGCUCUCCAGCUUGCCCAGGAUGACAUUCUGGACUGACGAGUCCUUGAACGUGAACAGGUUGUUCACGUCGUUCAGAAUGCAUUUGCUCGAGUCGGUGAGGUCCUGCUCGAGCGCUGCGUCCGCCUCCACUGGUGAUAGGAAGAAGCCAAAGUUCUCCCAGUUGCUAACGUCCUCCUGGCUCCCGUGCAGGCGAUAGAGCCCAAUAUCCCGAAUGGUGAUGUCCAACUUGCCGCCCUCCGCGAAGCCGAAGGCUUCCGUCAGGGGAAUCAGCGGUCGGUCAUCCUUAUCGACUACACUGUGGUGGAUUUUGGCGUGCGCCCCUAGCGCAAGCACCAGAAGGAGCAACAGGCCCAGCGACCGCGCCAUUUGCGAUCCUUGAGGCAACAGGUAUUCGAAAACUGUGGCCAGGUGAGAGUUUUGAGUGUGAGUUGAGCUAUCCAAUUGAUAAAGUUUCGCUUCAACCGCAGUGCCCUGACAGCGGCUGAAUGGGUACACGAACCCCAGCUAGCUUCCUGUGGCCCUCAAGACCGCAGUGAUUCUCCCCGAGCCCUGGCAUGCAGGAUACAACCACCUGAGGCACCCAGGGCGCUUUCAACAGUCACAGCAGCGCCAUGCUGGGAGCCGGCGGGCCAUGAAACGGACGCCACCGCAACGGCGAACACGAGCCCAUCUUGCUGAAUGCCCGUACUGCAACUGACGCUGCGGCUGUGGGCUGUGCCCGUUGUCCACACACCACACAACACACCCCGCGCCGCUGUGCGGGCGGCUGGACGGCCCCAAGGCGCCAGGUCCAAGCUCCCCUGCGCCCCAGGCCGAUGCAUGCAAGCGCCUGGGAUCGACGCACGGCUUGCGCGGUGCGUCUCCACUACUGCCGGGUGCGAUGGGACUGAUGGGACGCCGCCUCGCCGAGCACUUGUCAGCGCUACAAAGCUUUGUAUGCCUGUGGCUGUCUAGAAUGUCUGGUACUUAUUUGGAUGCUCAUGCGCGUGUGGUGCCAGUGCCAGCACUCAGCGGGCCACGCGUGUGUCGGCCCCUCAGGUCACGCGCUCCACGUGUCCAUCACCGCAUGCCGCAUACGGGCCAGCGGGCCCCAUCCCCCUCAGGGCUCAGGCCACACGCCCCCGCGCGCACGUACAUCGCAUCACGUCGCUGGCGGAAGCGGAUGCGCGGAGGCAGAGGCCCGGGCGGCAUGUGCCGUUGCAUUUGUCAUGGCGACGCCGCCUGCUCCUCACCGCGAGCGACGUCAGGCGGCGCCCCAAGCCGGGAGUAACGCGUGUGUUUGGCGCCCCAAGCCGGCGUGGUGAGUCUGACGAGGGGACAGCGGGGGGCGGGGUAUCGGUGGGGUCGCGCGGCGUGCGUGCGACCCACGGGUGGUGUCGGGGCAACGGGCCCAGGGUGUCGGGGCGGGGGUCAGCCGCAGCUGCCCGCAACCCGCAACAGAAGCUGGCCAAAUGUGCUGUCCGGCGGAACACAGCCCGCUGCAUUGGCCUGCCUCCACACAAUGCACCGGGGUAGCGGCGCCGUCCGACUGCCGCGCGCGGGCCGAGGGGGGUGAGGCGACGGGCCCUCGGGCAGGGAUUUGCUGCCGGAUCCCCGCGGCGCUGCCUGAACCCCUGCUUCCCGCGCAAUUCCCGCGCGGCCCCCCCGAGCACUGCAGCCUUCAGCUGAUACAGACACACACUCACAUAUCAUACAUGACCUCCUGCGCACACGCCUACUCCAAAUUUCAAGCAAGCAAACCCUGACCGACCCGGCGAGCGUUUUCCGGUUGUGACGCCGCGACUGCCUCCGGUCCGCUGCCGCACAGCACGUUCCAGUGCCCGCUGUUGGAAACCAACGUGAAGGAGGGCAGCAGCGCGCUAGAUAGUGCAGCAGGGGGCGGGGACAGGAGCAGCAGCUGCAAGCCGGCGCUUGCAGGCGCCGCUGCAGCCACCGCCGGCCUAGCCCUCGGUGGUCGGCCCCCGGAGGGAGCGCACCUGCACCUGCACCUGCACCUUCACCCACACCCGCACGCCGCGUGGGGGUGCCAUGGACGUGUCAACUGCUGCCAACAGCUGGGUGGACAGCUACUUGGAGGCGCUGGUGGGGCACUGGGGGGGUGGGCGGGGGCAGGGAGUAGAGGGUGGAGAGGCGCAGGAGGGGCGACAAGGAGGAGGCGAAAGCGGGGGCAGGGGCGCGGCUGCUGCGCGGUAGAAAGGGUUCGUAGGCCGCCAGAAAGGGUUGACUCCCUGUCCGGCGGCGAGGGCAGUCGGUCGGUCGGUCGGUCGGCUUGCGCGCUCAGCCCGCGACAUACAGCCGCCGCGGCUUUCGCCAGAGCAGUGCAUUGCGGGGCUGUGAAGCCCUUUCGCGCAGUUUCGUGCGGGGGAAAGUCGCCAGUCUUCCGCGGCUGUCAGGCAUUGUUUGCCCGCACGGCCCGCUGGAGAGCUCGCCCGAACGUGCUGCCGCUACCGUGUUUUCCCCCUCCGCCUCGCGGAGGCCCGCCCCCCGCCCGCCACCCCCCCCCCCGUACCGGCGUACCGCUCCCUGCCCAUACACCACAUGAUCACCUCAACACACGCCGCCUCACACACACACACACACACACACACACACACACACACACACACACACACACACACACACACACACACACACACACACACACACACACACACACACACACACACCGCAUCCCACGCCCCCCCCCCCCGCCUCCUCAGAUCUCCUCGGGUAGCCGCAGCGCUCUGGCCGCACGCACCGGCGCCGGCGCCGACGACUACUGCGUGCCCGAGGCGGUGGACGCGGACCGCCGCGUUUGCGCCAAGUACUACGUCAACCAGAUCCUCAGCCUGGACGAGGACGCCCUGCGGCGCAGCUGGAACAAGGUGCGUGAGGGGCGGCGGGGGGGCGUGUGGAGGUUGUGUGGAGGUUGCGGGCAGUGAAGGCGUGGAGGCGUGGCGGUGGGCGGCACGUUCCAUCGACCCAGAUGGAGCUCUCCUGCCAUUGGGCUUUCCAUCUAUUGCAUACCACGCCCCCUACACACCUCGCCGGCCCGGCCCCGCCCGGCCCCCCACGCUCUGCCCCCACACUGCCCCCACACGCUCCCCCCACACGCACCCCACACGCCCCUUCCUCCCUAUUCUUCUCCCCCCCCCCCCAUCAGGUGGCCCGCACCAACCGGGACAGCCAGGCUGAGAAGGACGCGCGUGUGGAGUACCUGUCAUGGCGCGUGUGGGCCAUGAAGCGCAAGAGGGCGGCGCUGGCGGCCCGAGCCGCCGCCGCCGCCCGCCGCGCCGCCGCCGCCGCCGCCAGCGGCAGUGGCGGCGGCGCUGACGAGGCGGAUGACGUAAUGAGUGAGGGCCGUACGGCGCUGCUGUACCUGGACGACCUGGACACCACCGUGACACUGGAGGUGCGAGAGGGCGGGGGGUGGUGGGAAAUGCGUGUGCGUGUGUAUGUGCGGGUGUUACUGUGUGGCGCAUCAACCCCGCACAACUCCACGAGCAGUCCCUGCUGGCUAGCCCUCGUACCGGCCUUCCUGCUGCAAUUACACGCUAGCUGCAUGAUGGCUGGGCAUGUUUCCUCAUUCGCCACCCCGCAGCCUCUGGAGGAGGAGGCUGACGCCGUGGAGGAGGAGGCGGGUGGCAGCCGCGAGGGCGAGGACCAGGAGGAGGACGACGACAAUGACAACGACCAGGAGGAGGAGGAGGCCGAGGCGGCUGGAGGCGGCGGCGGCGGCGGCGGGCGGCGCAGUCGGCUGGCGCAGGUGGCGGCGCGGCUGGCUGAGCCGCUGUCGGCAGACCAGGCCACUGUGCCCGACACCGAGCAGCCCGACGAGCAGGUGGGUGUUAAAGAGAUAGCACGAGGGAAACCAACAAACUAAGACUGCGUACCGGGAUGCGAUGCAGCAAGGCCACGGAACGGCAUAUGAGGGUAGUUGAGGCGCAGCGCUGAGGCGGCGGGGUUCGAGUGCAUGCAUGCGCAGUGUCGUGUGGGGCUUGUGAAGGCCGCGAUGGCACGCGCAGGCAGGAGAGAUGGCGAGCUGUCAACCACACGCACGCGCCCCGCCUCACACAUGACUUUCCUGACUCUCCCUUCACUACUCUUUCCCCUCCUCUCACAGUCUUGGGACGCCGUCUACCCAGCCACAGCCGCCGCCAAACAGGCCGCCGCCGCCGCCGCCCGAGGCGCCCGCCACGCGGCUGCCGCCGGCCACGCCGCCGCUGCUACUGCCGCUGACCGCAGCGGCGCAGCUACUGCCGGCGGCGGCGGCGGCUCGGGGCGACUGAGCUCAAUGGAGGAGGCUGGCGACGCGGCGUCGACCUCCACAAGGACCAUGGCGGGUGCGUGGCGCUGCGUUCCGUGUGCCGUGUGUUUGAUGCUAACAUGCGCACAUAUGCAUAUAUGCGCACAUAUGUGUGUUUGAUGCUAACAUGCGCACAUAUGCAUAUAUGCACAAGUAUGCCAUACGGUAUCCAUACACGCAUACGCAAGGCUCUUAGCCACGCAUAUCUGCACUCAGCAGCUGCAGCCGCUCGGCCCUCUCCGCCCACACCAUCUAUAUAUCAGAACCACCGCCACCACUGAUACAAGCACGCUCACAACCACCGGCACCACCACCACCACCACCACCACACACACUACUGCCUUCAACACUGCACCCACACCAUCCCGCCCGCCUCCCCCCACUGCACCUCCUCCUCCUCCGCAGCGGCACGCGGCGCCAGUGGCCUCGCCGCCGCCGGCGCCAGCCUGGGCGGCCACAGCGGUAGCCAGCUGUCCCUGCGCUCCGCCCCGCCGGCCCUGUGCCUGCCGCCGCCGCCGCCGGGCACCCCGCCGACGUCGGUGUUCGCCGCCGCCGCCGGCUCCCCCGCCCUGCCGCCCCACCACCACCACUACCACCCAUCCCUCCAGACCACCCCCACCAGCCCGGCGCCCCUCUCCCCAACCCUUCACCACCUCCACUCCUCCCCCGGCCCCGCCGCCCCCGGCCCCGCCGCCCCCGGCCCCGCUGCUACAGCCUCUGCCGCCGCUGCCGCCGCCGCUGCUACAGCCGGCACCACCAGCAGCAGCAGCAGCAGCAGCAGUGCUGCCCCCACGGAGGCUGACCUGGGUCUGCUGGUGGGCCGCCCCGGCAGCCCGCGGCGCUAUGUGGUGCUGGUGUCGCUGCAUGGGCUCGUGCGGGGGCGCCGCAUGGAGCUGGGCCGAGACCCCGACACCGGAGGACAGGUGCUGGGGGGAGGGGGGGAGAGCGUGUGUGCGGGUGGGUGGGUGCGCGUGGGUGCAUGGGUGGGUGGGGUAGAAGUCGAAACGAUGUACACCUUGGAGCUGGGUGGAUCAGUGUGGCAGUACUGCUGCAAGGGCUGGAGGGCCGCCGCCGCAUGCAGCCAACUGGCCAGGUGCAGGCAACCCACUGGCGCCCCUCAACCCCCUCAACCCCGGCACACACACUCACAACACACACGCCCCCCCCCAGGUCAAGUAUGUGGUGGAGCUGGCUCGGGCGCUGGGCCGCAUCCCCUCCGUGGCGCGUGUGGACCUGCUGACGCGCCUCAUCGCGGACCCACGGGUGAGGGGGAGGAGGGGGAGGGGGAGGGCGGGGGGCCGGGCAGGUGGGUGCUGGUGCUGCUGGGGGACACACGCACCGGCCCGCUGUUUGCUUGCGCAAUCCGAUGCACCCCUUCCCCUUGCGCUUUGUAGGGAACACACACACGCACGCAAAAACGCGCACACACACUUAUACGUACACACGCGUGCAGGUGGACAAGAGCUACUCAGUUCCUGAGGAGCGGCUUGACACGGGCAGUAGCAAUACCGGCAGUAGCAACACCGGCAGUAGCGGCGGCGCCGCUGCAGACGCGGCGGCCGCGCCACAGCCGCAGCAGCCGUCACCCGGCGAUGCCGCCGCACCCGCGGCCAAUAAACUCGGCGCCGGCAGUAGCCCGGCUGGUGCUGCUGCUACUGCUGCUGCUGCUACUGCUGCUGCUGCUGCCGACGACCCGUGCGGCGCCUUCAUUGUCCGGCUGCCUGCCGGCCCGCCCAACGUCUACCUCAAGUGAGCAGGGCGCGUCCACACCAGCGCAUCACAGCCCGGGACCAGACCACACACGGCCAUUUACGGUGCCGAGGCAAUCUCGCCUGUUGUUUUUCCUAGCACGCAACUCCUAGCCUACACACACACCUCCGCUUCCCACCCACAAACACACGCUCACACGCUGCCCCCCCACCCACCCCCCCCCACACACAUACAAACCCCUCAGGAAGGAGGACCUUUGGCCGCACGUGCGCGAGUUCGCGGACCGGGCCCAGGCGCACGUGGCGGCGGCGCUGGCGCGGCUGGGCGCUGCGGGCCAGGCGGCGGAGCUGUGGGCGGUGCACGGCCACUACGCGGACGCGGGCGAGGCGGCGGCGCUGCUGGCGGCGGCGCUGGGCUGCCCCAUGCUGCUGACCGGCCACUCGCUGGGGCGCAACAAAAAGGUGCGGUGUGGCGAGUAGCUGUGUGUGUAUGUGUGUGUGGGGUGGGUUUGGUGGGGGGUGUGUGGUGGGGGUGUGUGUGGCGUUUGGGGCCGGUGCGGCUGGUGUGGCAAUUUGGCGGUUGAAGCGGGUGCAUGUUCAGGGGUGUUGACUCGUCCACUUGUUGCGACCUGGAUUCACCCUCACUUCCGGUACCUUCCACACACCCCUUCCCACCCUCCCCGCCCCUCCCACCCUUCCCCUCGCGCUCCUGCGCUGCCCUGCCCUGCCCAGGCGCACCUGCUGGCUAGCG
rnacentral:lncRNA from 1 species